CGUCUCCUUUUGCAGUCAACAUUUCAAGUAAUCCAACCCAUCAACGGCGACCCCUUCAUUGGAAGCCUGGAGACUCCAAUCACCUCAAGCCCCUUAAUUGCAUGGUACCUUUCCAACCUCCCAGCCUAUAGGACGGCAGUGAACCCACUUCUGAGGGGAAUCGAAGUGGGUCUGGCUCACGGCUUCCUCCUGGUUGGUCCAUUCGUAAAGGCCGGCCCUCUAAGGAACACUGCGGUGGCGGGUCAAGCUGGGUCCUUAGCCGCUGCCGGUUUGGUUGUGAUCCUCAGCAUUUGCUUGACGAUGUAUGGCGUUGCGUCGUUCAAAGAAGGUGAGCCAUCGAUAGCACCGAGCCUAACCCUGACUGGGAGGAAGAAAGAGCCAGACCAGUUGCAAACGGCGGAUGGAUGGGCUAAGUUCACUGGAGGGUUCUUCUUUGGUGGAAUCUCUGGUGUCACUUGGGCUUACUUCCUCCUGUAUGUCCUUGACCUUCCUUACUACUUUAAGUAGAUCAUCAUUUGAUCUAUGUUUUACCUGGUCCCUUUUUUAAUGUAAAUCAUUGUAUUCAGGAUGAUCCUUUGGGAACGAAUAUCAAUUAUAUCAAGUGAUUGUCACUCUAAUUUAAGUUAUUUAUUGAAAGAGAUAUUUCACUCGCUUUACCACAAUCAAUAGCCAAAUUGCCGCACUAGGCGUUUUGAGCUUCAACUGUUAUUAAAAGCGGCUCUAAUCAGAUCAAUUAUUACUGUGCUCGUUCGAGGCAGAAAAAAAAGAUUAAUUAAUACCUCAAUCUAAUAUUUUUUUAAUGUGAUUUUUAUAUUAUAUUUUUGGUCUAAUAUGAUACUUAUAUUUGAUAACAGUAAUAUAUUUUGAUACUUAAAGGUAAUUAUGUCAACUUUGAAUGUUUAAUUUGAGUCUUAAAGCUGAUGAUGAAAGUUUAAUCACUAAAACUAUUAUGUUUGAAUUUUUCAUGGUUUUGUUAAUAAAGUAAAUGGUUUUGUUAAUAAAGUAAAUUUAAUGUUAAUUGUAAUUUUUUUAAGUUUUGCAUUUAAUUUGUCAAUCAUAAUUAAAUGGAUAUGAUUUAAUUGGAGCUUUAGGAUUGAUUUAAUGAAAGUUAAUAACUUAUUAUCUAAUUAUGAAUUUUCAUCAAAUCACAUCUAAAACUUAAAUUAAACACUAAAGAGUUAACACUGAGUUGAACAAAAAAAAGGUAACACCGUUAGCUUCAAAUACAAAGAGGUAUAACCCUAAACCUUUAACAGUUAUACAAAUUAAUCCAUAGGCUAGCUAGAUUAAGUUACGACAACUCCGAAAAUAUAGAAAUCAUUAAAAAUGGAUUGAAAAAUACUUACCAUGCACCAAAUUUAGCUUAGCCAAAUUAACAAGCUCCCAUGGAAGGUUUUAGCUUCAAAUUUCGGUGGAUGAACAACCAUUUAGGAAGAUCUUUUACAAUAUUUUACUUAGUUUAAUUUGUUAAAUUACAAUUUUAACCUUAAUUAAUAACAUUUAAAACACUUAAUAAUGUGUCCAAAUAUGUCCACUCACAUUAAUCAUGACCUAAUUACAACAUAAGGAACUCUAAUUUAAGAUUCCACAGCUAUUUAACACCUUUAGCUAAUAGAAUACAAGUUUUACAAUUUACGUGAUUUAGUCCUUUUUUAUCAAAUUAAGCAUUUAAACGAUAAAAUUUCCUAACGAAAUUUUCACACAAUCAUACUAUCAUGCUGUAGACAUUAAAAUAAUAAUAAAAUAAAUAUUUCGACCUCAGAUUUGUGGUCCCGGAACUACUAUUCUGAUUUGACUAGAACUCUUGAAAGGACCAAAGAAUAAAUAAACUAAAACUAUGAAAACUUAAAGAAAGCAAGAAAAAAAAACUUCAACCUAAAGAGAGAAUCUAAGCUAAUGGAAUGGUGUCCAUAAUAUGUGCCAAAUGAGUCUAUUUAUAGCCUUCAGGUAGUCGUCAUCCUUAACCCUACGUUAGCUGACAUUCCCAAGCUUUAAGUUCGAUUGUAUAGACCAAAACGCCUUUGCUUCGUGUUUUAUUUUUGUCAUAGAUUUGAUGUUGUGACACACCAGGACCUGUGUCACGACAUAGGAGCCAUUAUGCUCCUCUACAGCCAUCUUUAGGGGUAUGUUGCGACACCCUCAGCAUGUGUCGCGACAUUGAAGAAAAUUCCUUGCUUUCUCUAUUAUGUUCCCUAUGUUAUGACAUCAGAUAUCCCAUGUUACGACAUAGUGUUCAGUAUUGGUCCAAAAUGCCUUCUAAUGAUUUUUUGUACACUUACAAAGUACGUUAGCUCUCUUUUAGGCCUCAUUCGGCCCUUAAGGUCAAUAAAAGACUCAAUGUGCAUAUUUUAUUGGAUGUAAGUAAGACUAAAGAAACUUACUUAAAACAUAACGAAAAUGAUUGUAUUCAAGCUCCUUGAAUGUGAAAACUAGUUUAAUAUACUACACUAAGUUAUGGAAGAUCAUUGACAUAAGCUUAAUAAGAAGUUGGUGAAAAUAGUCAUCCAAACCUAGAUUGGAUGAUACAAUGGAUGCAAGAUUAGGGACCAAUUUUCCAAGAAUUUGCUAGACAAAACAACAUUCAAGUCCCCAAUUAUACACGUGACAUGUUCGAGCAAAAAAAUUUGGAACGAGAAGAAAAGUUGCAUGAUAACAAAGAGAAAUGAAAGGAUGAGGAGGACGAUGAAAGCGAGGAAAUGGAUUUUGAGGAAGGAGAUUGAACAAUUUUAAAUUUUGUUUUUAGAAAAUACUUGUAUUAAUUUUUGGAUGAUUUUGAUUUAGACUACUAAAUUUUGAUUUGGACAAUUUUAAUUUUCGGAGAUUGAAAAAUUUUAAAUUUUUGAAUUAAUAAUAGAUUUUUAGUUACAUUGCAUUUUGUUUCAGUUUUCUAUGUAGGAACCCAACACGAAGGAGUCACAAACAAUUCGCGCUUUACACGAUCAAAGGAGGAAGAGCCACCAUUAGUAGUAGGAGUGACAACGAUCAAUCAUGUAACUUCUUUCGUUAUCUAUUUAUGGGCUACACAUUGAGGAAAAUGUGUCAACUAAAGUGUGGAGGGUAACAUAGAAAAUUUGUUUACAUUUUUACAUUUUUUCCUUUAUUUUUCUUGUCUUUUGUGUGCUUGAGCUUGUAGAAAUAUAAGUGAUUGGUUAGGAGCAUGUACAUAGGUUGGUUGUGUUUGCAAAUAAAUUUGGCAUGAUGAUAGGUGAUUUUAAAUUUUUGGUUAUUAGAGUACUAAGUUCUAUCUAUUACAUUGUAAAUAGGCAUUAAGCAAUCAACUAUACCAAAUGAUAUAGAAAAUACAAGGAAAUGAGCAUACUAGUAUGAAUGAUAAAUGACUAAAUUUGAGUUUGUUUGGUUGAUUAAAUUUGUGCAUAUUGAGAUAUUAAGGGAUGACCUAAGGCAUUGUUUGGAACACAUCCAGAGUCAAAAAGUUGUCCAAUUCAUAUUCAACUUUAGUACCUAUUUUUGAGACUGUUGACACUUCUUGAUGAACCUCAUCACAAACCCUGAUCUUAAAAAUAUUAAUUUGUAUUUACCCUUUUUCUUUGGUCUUGCACUGCACGACUAUAGACGUCUGGCAUUAUGUAUUGAGGGUUAUGUAGAUACAUCACGAUAGAGUUUGUAAAAAUAGAGUGAAGUAGGAAAUGUAACAGCCCAAUUUUGGUGAAAUCGGAACAGUGGUUUCGGGACCACAAAUCUGAGCUGAAAAUAAAAUUUAUUUUUAUUUUAUUAUAUGAUCCAUAUUAUGUUAGAAAUGUGAAAAUUUUGAAAAGAAAGUUUUAUUGAUUAAGUGUUUAAUUACAAGAAGGACCAAAUCGCAUAAAAUGCAAAAGUUAAAUUCUAGUAGCUAUAAGGAUUAAAUAGCUAUGGAAUUCAAAACUUGAGGUCCUUAUAUAGUAAUUAGACCAUUGAAGAAAGUAUGUAGAUAAUUUGGUGACUCAUCCAUGGAAAUUUAGAAAAAGGGCAAGGACUAAAUUGGAAAAUAUAAUAAUUUAAUUUAAUUAAUUAAAAGAUGAUAAAAAGAAAAUAUCAUCUUAUUUUGUCAUCUUCAACCCCAAAAUUUAUGGAAACCCUAGGAGAGAAAGAAGAAACUUUCAAGGCUUAAUUGGGUAAGAUUCCUUGUCCCAUUUUUAGUAAUUUUGAUAUUUUUGAAACCGUGAUAGCUUAAACUAUCUAUUUGAGGGAUUAAUUUAAAAAGUUAUCAAAGUAUGAAAAAUGGGUCAUGGAUGUAUAUGCUAAAAAUCAGAAAUUUAUGGUAGAAAAUGAAAGGUUGUUGAUAGAUAAACAACUUCUAGAAAGUAAUUUUUUAUGGAAACAUGAUUUAGGGACUAAAAUGUAAAAUUCUAAAAUUUUGUAAUACCCCAAAAAUUACUACAGUAAGAAAGUAAGAUAUUAUCCUUGAUAUAGUUAAGUAAGGAAAUAAAGUGACAAAAAGGGAAAUUUUAUUAUGUCAACAUUGGGAAGUAUAUUAUGAUAUAUUACAUUAUUAAUUCAAGAAAGGACUAAAUUGUAAAAGUGAGAAAAAUUUUGUUGCCCAAGAGUAAAUACUCAAAAUUUGAAGGGUUAAAGUGUAAAUAUGAAAAAUUUGAAGGACCAAUAGUGUAAAUAUUUUAGGGGUGGAAUAAUCUAGAAACUAAGGAAAAUGGAUGAAUUAGGACCAAAUCAAAUUGGUGAAGAAUUAUGAGGGACUAAAUCGUAAUUUUUCCAAAUUAAGUGAUGACUCAAUAAUGAAAUUUUAAAAGAAUAUGAAGGGCAAAAUGGUCAAUUAGUAAGAGAGAGGAUUCUAGAAUGUAAUGACUAUGAAUGAUGAUAUUUUAAAUUAAUUAAUUAGAUAAAUAUUAUUUUAUUAAUAUUUUAAUAAGAUAUUUAUGAUUAUUUUAUUAUUUUAUUUAGUAUAUAUAUGUGUGUGUGGAAAACACACACACACAUACACACAAUCCAUAAUCUUUCCAUGCAUUUCACGUUUGAAGAGAAGAGAAGAAAGAAAGUUUUACUUUCUUUACAAUUUAGUCCUUCCACCAAAAAUUCACCAUUUUUACCUAGAAAUCAAAAGAAUUUCCAUAGCUACCAAGAGAGAAAAAUGUUAAGGAGACUAAGGGGAUUUAGAAUAUCGAGUUGGAUUCAAGAAAUAGAAGUUGGAGGAGAAAGAAAAAUCAAGUUAAAGAUUGAAAUCAAUAGGACAAGGUAAGAACUUUAAGACUUCAAUAUAUUUUAAGUAGAGUUUCUCAUGUAAGGUAAUAUCAAAAGCAUGAAAAUGAUGUUAAGGUAGAGUUUUCUUAUAUAAGGUUCUAUGUUCUUGAUAUAUUAGUGAAGGGAAAUAAGAGAAAAUGAUAGGAAAUAUUGUAGAGAAUAGAAAUAAGGGUGUUAUAAACUUGGUAAUCAAUAUGUUGCACUAAAAUAGUUUUGGACAGCAGCAAUAGUUAAACUUUGAAAAAUCACCAAAAAUUGUGGAAAUUUAAUUAUAGGUUGAAUAAAAUAUGAAAUUAAAUUUUAUUGAAUCUAAGUUUUCAUAGAAGAAACUGUGUAAGCAAUUAACGGAAUUGUAAAUUGUGAGAUAUAAUAAAUUUUAUGAGACAAGGUCAGAAUAAUUUUGAGUUCUCCUAUUUUGAAUUUGGAAAAUCAUCAAAGAUUGAAUAAAAAAUAAUUAGGGGCUUAAAUUUAUAUUUUUAGAAUCCUAAAUGAGUCUAUUUUCAAUAGAAAGAAACAGGAACUUCAUUUGAAUCCUGUACGAGGAGAUAAUUAAUUUUUAGCGUAGAAGGGUCGAAACUAUCAGACAACAGAAAAUGAGUGAUUUUAAAGAAUAAACUGUACUUAUUGGCUAAACCAAAAAUUCUAAAAAUUUUAUGGUAAGAAGAUAUGUGAGCCUAGUUUUAGAAACAUCAAGCAGUUCUUAAUUUAGAAUUCUGUAGCUCAAGAUAUAAAUAAUUUAGUAACUAUAACUCAAGUAGACAACUUGAUAUGAACAUAUGAGAAAAUAGUGGAAUUAUAUAUACAUUAAGGAUAUGGGAUGGAGAGGAGGAGGAGGAAAAUAUAUAUGAAUAUUUAGUUUGCAUGGGUUACAUUAAAGUGGUUAAUUUGUAUGUUUUAGGCUUGGGGACUAAAUUAAAUAAAAGUAAAACUUUAAGGGUAAUUUUAUAAAAACAUCAAAAAUAACCAAAUUGAGUGAAAUGAAUUAUUUUAUUGUCUAAAUUAAUAAAUUGAAUGAAAUUAUUAAUUUAGAUCAAGAUUGGUUGAAAAAUUUAGAAAAAUAGAAAAUUACCAAAAUGCCCCUGAAUAUAAGUAUUUCUGCAAUUUAGCCAGACAAGUUUGUGAGACCUAAUUAUGUGAUACAAGGAAAUAUAAGUUGAUGGUACAUUAAAUAUUGAUAAUAUGAAUUAACUGAUUUAUGUUUAUGAAGAAACGGUAAGAGAAUGAUAUUUAUCAUGACAUGUAAAUAUGUGAUUAUUUUUGAUACUUUGAUACAAGGAAAAUAAGUAUGUUUAGGGGGCAAUAUGUUUGAUUUUGAUUGGUCCCAAAUAUGAAUGCUAGAUGAAAUAAAAUGUCUGAUAAAUAAAUUUGUAACUCCGGUAAUGCCUUAUACCCUAUUCCGGUGACAGAUACGGGUAGGGGGUGUUACAUUUAUUGGUAUCAGAGCAACGGUUUAGUCGAUUCUCGGGCCAAACGUGGCAUAUGUGAAGUCUAGAAAUACAUGCCAUUAUAUACCUCUGAUAAUGUGAUAUCUUCCGACUCGGAUGAGAUUUGUUUUACUUAAAGAUAGAGAUGCUUUCCCAAUCGAGCUAGUUCCGAUAAUGUUGAAAGUGAUACUAAAAUAUAUGAGUAAAAGUUGAUUAUGGUGAGUCGGAACUCAUAAAGGUAUGAAUAAAUGUUAUAUUUAAAUUUAUGUGUAUAGUAAGUAAAAUUUUAAAGUAAGUAUUAAUAUUGAAUUGAAUUUGUAUGGAUAUAUGUGAUUGAUGUGGAAAUAGAAUAUUGGAUAUAUUUUAUAUUUGAAAAUUUUAUUGAUUGGAAAUGUGAUGAAUUGAUACGAAUAUGUGAUUAUUACGAAAUUUGAAUAUUUGUUAUUGAAAAAUGAAUUGAAUUGUAUUGAAUUGAGAAUGUAUGUGAUUAAUUGAAAUGUGUAUUGAUUGGAAACUGGAAAGUGAAUUGAAUACCCUAUUAACUGUACCCGGCUGAGUCGGAUAUAGUUGGCAUGCCAUAGGAUUGGAAGUGUUUAGGGAUACUUCAACCUUGAGUCGAUGAGGCACUAUAAGUGUCGUACUGUUACUUCGACUUUGAGUCGAUGAGGCACCUUGUGUGUUCUAUUGCUACUGUUACUUUGGUUUAAUCCGAUGAGGUACUGAGUACCGUACUAUUACUGUUUUACUUCGGCAAAACCGAUGAGGCAUUGAGUGCCGUACUGGUGUGUUGGUUGGAUCCGUGUAUCCACCAAAGUCCGAGUCUUAUUAAUAGGGGUAAAUAUGAAUAUUAAGUGAAAUUGAAAUGAGAAUUGAAUGCCCUAUUAACUUGUCGGGCUAGUCGGAUAUAAUUGGCAUGCCAUAGGAUUUAGAAGAGUACGGGAUUUAUUGGCUUUGCCGAUCAGACACUUUAUGUGUCAUGAUUCAGGCACCUCAUGCGUCGUAUUAGACACCUCGUGUGUCAUUUCAGGCACUUAUGUGUCGUAUACUGAUCAGGUACUAUGUACCAUUUUAGGCACAAUGUGCCGUACUAGUGUUUUUAGGUUGGAAUCGGUGUAUGGAACAUCCUGAUUUUGGGCCUAGUCAGAAUAGUGAUCUCGAGACCACAAAUUCAGAGCCAAAUAAUUUAUUCCAUUAUUAUUUUGAUGUUAUAGCAUGAUUAUAUUAAUGCAUGGAAUAUUUGGUAAAGUAAUUUUAACGUUUGUGAGCCCAAUUGUGAAAAAGGACUAAAUCGUAUAAAGUGAAAAAGUCCUAAAUUGAUAGCUAAAGGUGUCAAAUAGCUAGAGAAUAAAUAUUGGGGGCCUUUAAAGGGCAAUUAGACCCUUAGAAAUAGGGUGGCCGGCCAUAGGGGACAACGAAUUGAAAAUUUUUAAUGUUAGGUAAUUGAUUUUUGACUAAAGUAGAAAUAAAAUAAUCAAAGGAUGAUAUCAUCUCUUUCACCUCUCCUUCUUCACUGAUUUUUCCAGAAAAAAUAGGGCUUUGGGAGCUUUAAAUUUCUGCUACUUAGUUGACUCACAAGUAAGUGAUUUCCAUACCCUUUGUUGAUGAUUUUUUGCAUUUUUAGAACCCUUAUAGCAUAACCUUUCAAAUGAGGGUACUAUUUUGCAAAAUGAUUAAGAGUUUAAGGUUUUUCCAUGAAAGGAUUUGUAAUGUUUGUUGAAUUUUUAUGGAAGAAAAUGAGUCUUGGGUGUCUUAUAAACAACUUUUGUGAAAGGUGUUAGCAUGAAAACACCUAAAAGGACUAUUUUGAAUAAGUUGUAAAAUAGAUGAUAAUUGUGUGAAAUAGUGAGAAUUUGGAGUUGUUAUAAGAGUAGAAAGGGUUCGGCUAGGCUUAAGGUGUGGAGAAAUCUAAUAAAAAUCAUUUUUUGGGCUUAGGGGUAAAAUGGUCAUUUUGCAAAAGUCUAGGGGCAAACUGCUCAUUUUGCCCAAUUAUGAAUUGUAGAGUGCCUAGAUUGAUAAAGUGACUAAAUAAGUGCAUUUUGUUAUUAUAGAUCAAGAAAUAUCGAAUCAAAACCUAGACAAGGGGAAAGCCAAGCAAAUUGACUAAAUCGACUAGUCGCCACAUUUUGUAAUCCGAGGUAAGUUGCAUGUAAGUAGUAAAACUACAUAAGUAAUAUAUGUAUUUGAAUUGUAUUGAAAUUAUUAUAUCAUAAAUUUCUUGAUUAUGGAAAUGAGAAAAUGUGAUGAGAAUAGAGAUAGUAGAUUCCCGAUUGAAUUUUAGGAAAUAAAUCGAAUAUUCAUGCCAUGACGUUUGGGUCACUUGUGUGAGCUAGUGUAAGAAAUGCUGGGACAUGCAUCGACCACAUUAUGAGAGCCAGUGUAAGACCUCGACAUUAAGACAAUUGCUAGUGUAAGACAUGUCUGAGACAUUCAUCGGCCUUGAGAUGUAAGCCAGUGUAAGACAUGUCUAGGACAUGCAUCGUCUAUGAAAUGUGUCAGUGUAAGGCCAUGUCUGGAACAUGGCAUCAGCAACUUACCCCAUGAUUGAGGCUUAUAGAAUAUCCAAUAAUGUUCCAGAUGGUUCAACGGUGAAAGUUAAGAUUUAAAGUUAAUGAGAAAAAUAUAACAGUGUUGUGAGUGGUACAUGUACCUAUUUGGUAUGUAGGAAAUGUGAGCUCAAUAUAUGUUAUAUGACGUGUAGUGAAUAUUAAUGAGUAAGUUUUGCUCAUGCCCAUUUGUGUAUUCUGAUGCUUGAUGAUGAAUGGUAAAAUUAUGUUGUAUAUUUCUUUAUGUGCAACUUACUAAGCUUUAUGCUUACUCCCUUUCCUUUUUCGUUUCCUUAUAGCGCCACCUAUCUAGCUCAAGGAUCAACAGAAGUUAGAGAUAUCAAUCACACUAUCAAUCAAAGCCUUCGGUAUAGUUUGAUUUAUAUUUUUGAAUAUGGCAUGUAUAGGGAAUUAGGCUUGUGUUUUUGGGUUAUUAUUAAUUUGGCCAAAAUGUUGGCUUGGGAUAAAUCCCUCAUUUUGUAUUAAGCCUUGAAUGAUGGCUAACAUUCAUUUUAAUUUAUAUACAAAGAUGUUAUUUUCAUAGAUGAGUGAAAUGCACAAAUAGAAUGUUAUCUAUUGUGGCUGAUUUGGUUGCAUGAGAUAGUCUUAUAAUGGUUUUGGUUGCUUUUGUGUAGGUUGUGUAAGUAAGGGUGGCAAAGAGGCUUGAUAAAUAGCCUUAUAUUGUCCACACGGGUGUGUGUCUAGGUCGUGUGUGACACACGGUCUGCCCUUUGGUAGUGUGGUCCGGCCAUGUGUCCCCUGCACGUAAAAUUUUCAAGUAGUAUGCAUGGUAGUAAACACACAGGCACAGACACGGCUGUGUAUCUCAGCUGUGUGAUGGACACGGCCUAGCACACGGGUGUGUGCCUUGGCCGUGUGACAUUUUGGGGUUGUUGACGUCAGAAACAGAAUGUCCAUGUUUUUUGCACACGGGCUAGGACACAGACGUGUGCCAGGCCGUGUGAAAACCCCUGUAGGUGUGCAUUUAGAAUUAAUUCCACACGGGUGUCGGACACGGGCGUGUCACUGUAUUGCUUAGGCCAUGUGAGCCACACGGGCCAUCAACACGACCAUGUUGAAAUGGCCACAUGGGCGUGUUUCCCUUCUACACGGGCGUGUGCCCUAUUUCAAAGUCAAAUUUUCUAUAGAUGGUUUAAGAACCCGGAUUGAUCCCGAAUAGUUUUCAAUGGUCGAUUUAGGGCUCGUAGGCCCAUAAUAAGAAGUUUAAAGUAGAAAUUGAAAAUGUUUUAAAUUGGACCAAGUCUUGGUGACUUGAGGAAUGUUUGUUUGCAUGAGAUCGAGUUUGGUAAUGCCUCAUAUUUCGUUCCGACGUGGGUUACGAGUAUGGGGUGUUACAGUGUAUUCGUCAAAGUCCGGAUUGGUUAAUAGGGUGAAUAAUUGAAAUGAGAAAAUUAAAUAAAUGUGAUUGAUCAUACUAUUAAAAAUAUGAGAAAGAAAUUAUGAGUUGAAUUGCGAAUUGAUUUGAGAUGUGAGAUUUGAAGCAUGAACUUAAGGUUCAUGAAUUUGCUAAAAUAUCAAAUUGUUGAUAUUGAAAUCAGUUGAAUAAAUGAAAUGAGAAAUUCAAAUGAAUUUGAUCGAUUGAACUAUUGAAAGUAUGAAAAAGUGGAAUUAUGAAUUGAAAUGUGAAUUGAAAUUAAGAUAUACGAUUGAAGCUUGAACCAAAGGUUCAUGAUUUGAUUAAAGAUACUAUAGAUUACAUAUGAUGCCAUUUGAUGAAAGACUAUUGUUGAGAUAUGAAAUUAAAGUAUAAAUUAACACAUAUGACUUAUGUUGUUACAUGUUUGAUGUUUAUUAUUUAUUAUAGUUUUUAUAAUUUGAAUUAUGGUAAUACCAUUGAGUAUAGACAUACUCAGCGUACGGUUGUAUUACUACAAUUCAAAUUAUUCAUUAUUAAAUGUUAAAUGUUAAAUGUUAAAUUAUGUGUAUGGUAAAUGAAGUAUGAGGUAAGUGUUAUUGUUGAAUUGAAUGGAAAUUGAAUUGAGUGAUGGAUAAAUAUUAGUAUUGAAUUGUAUAUUGAUGAGAAAGUGAAAUUAAAUUGAGUUGUGAAUAAAUUGAAAGUGAAAUUGGAAUUGAAAAGUGAUAUAUGAAGUACAUGGUAAGAAUUAUUAGUAAAUUACGAAUGACUAGUGAAUUUUGAAAUAUAUUACAUGUAUUAAAAUAGAGAAUAUAUAAAUAUAUAGAUUAUUGGUACAAGGAUUAAAUUGUAAAGUAUUUAAAUGUAUGAAAUUCAGUUUGAUGCUCAAGUAGACGGAAUUUAGAACUACUAUGAUAUUAUGGCAUGCCAUUAAGGAACUCUAGCGCGCUAUCUGAUUAUUAGUACGUUAGUGCUCUCUGAUUAUUAGCACAUUAGUGCUCUCCGUUUAGCACAUCUGUGCUCUCUGUAUAGCACUUUAAUGCUCUCUGUAUAAUAGUGCAUAAUAAUGCACCUCUGUAUUAGUUCCGUAUAUCUAAAGUGUUCUGUUCAAGUUAUUGGGCCUUUGUUAGACAGUUAAAUAAUUUUUGUUACAAGGUAAAGAAUUAUCUCUGAUUUAAGUUUGAAAAAUUGAAUUAAAAAUAAAUUGUGAAAUAAAAUGAUGGAGAAUGGAUAUAAAUGAUAAACUAGAUAAAUAUAUACAGAAAGGAAGUAUAGAAUUACAGAGAUAAUGAAGUUUAUGAUCAAAAGAAAACAAUGAAAUUUCGAGGAUGAAAUUUAUUUUAAGUGAGAGAGAAAUGUAAUACCCUGAAAAUUACUACAGUAAGAAAGUAAGAUAUUAUCCUUGAUAUAGUUAAGUAAGGAAAUAAAGUGACAAAAAGGGAAAUUUUAUUAUGUCAACAUUGGCAAGUAUAUUAUGAUAAAUUACAUUAUUAAUUCAAGAAAGGACAAAAUUUUAAAAGUGAGAAAAAUUUUGUUUCCCAAGAGUAAAUACUCAAAAUUUGAAGGGUUAAAGUGUAAAUAUAAAAAAUUUGAAGGACAAAUAGUGAAAAUAUUUUAGGGGUGGAAUAAUCUAGAAACUAAGGAAAAUGGAUGAAUUAGGACCAAAUCGAAUAGGUGAAGAAUUAUGAGGGUCUAAAUCUUAAUUUUCUAAAAUUAAGUGAUGACUUAAUGAUGGAAUUUUAAAAGGUUAUUAAGGGCAAAAUGGUCAAUUAGUAAGAGAGAGAAUUCUAGAAUGUAAUGAUUAUGAUUGAUGAUAUUUUAAAUUAAUUAAUUAGAUAAAUAUUAUUUUAUUAAUAUUUUAAUAAUAUAUUAAUGAUUAUUUUAUUAUUUUAUUUACUAUAUAUAUGUGUGUGUGUGGAAAAAAAAACAUACACACACACACACACACCCACCAUCUAUCAUCUUUCCAUGCAUUUCACAUUGCUUUCUUUACAAUUUAGUCAUUCCACCAAAAAGUUACCAUUUUCACCUAGAAAUCAAAAGAAUGUCAUAGCCACUAAGAGAGAAAAAUGUUAAGGAGACUAAGGGGAGUUAGAAUAUCAAGUUGGAUUCAAGAAAUAGAAGCUGGAGGAGAAAGAAAAUUCAAGUUAAAGAUUGAAAUCAAUAGGACAAUGUAAGAACAUUAAGACUUCAAUAUAUUUUAAGUAGAGUUUCUCAUGUAAGGUAAUAUCAAAAGCAUGAAAAUGAUGUUAAGGUAGAGUUUUCUUAUAUAAGGUUCUACGUUCUUGAUAUAUUAGCGAAGGGAAAUAAGAGAAAAUAAUGGGAAAUAUUGUAGAGAAUGGGAAUAAGGGUGUUAUAAACUUGGUAAUCAAUAUGUUGCACUAAAACAGUUUUGGACAGCAACAGUAGUUAAAUUUUGAAAAUCACCAAAAAUUGUAGAAAUUGAUUUAUAGGUUGAAUAAAAUGAAAUUAAAUUUUAUUGAGUCUAAUAUUUCAUAGAAGAAACGGGGUAAGAAAUGAAAUUGUAAAUUGUGAUAUCUAAUAAAUUUUAUGAGACAAGGUCAGAAUAAUUUCGAGUUCCCCUGUUAUGACUUUGGAAAAUCAUAAAAAAUUGAAUAAAAAUAAUUAGGGCUUAAAUUUAUAUUUUAUAAUCCUGAAUGAGUCUAUUUUGAACAGAAACAAAUGGGAACUCCAUUCGAAUCCUAUACAAGGAGAUAAUUAAUUUGUAGUGUAGAAGGGUCGGAACUAUCAAACAGCAGAACAAAGGUGACUUUAAAGAAUAAACUGUACUUAUUGGCUAAAGAAAAAAUUCUAAAAUUUUUCUGGUAAAAAUAUAUGUGAGUCUAGUUAUAGAAACAUCAAGCUUUUCUUAAUUUAGAAUUCUGUGGCUCAAGAUAUAAAUAAUUUAGUGACUAUGACUCAAGUGGACAACUUAAUAUGAACAUAUGAGAAAAUAGUGGAAUUAUAUAUACAUUAAGGAUAUGGAAUGGAGAGGAGGAGGAGGAAAAUAUAUAUGAAUAUUUGGUUAGCAUGGGUUACAUUAAAGUGGUUAAUUUGCAUGUUUUAGGCUCGGGGACUAAAUUGAAUAAAAGUAAAACUUUAGGGAAAUUUUGUAAUAAUAUCAAAAAUAACCAAAUUGAGUGAAAUGAAUUAUUUUAUUAUAUAAAUUAAAAAAUUGAACGAUAUUAUUAAUUUAGAUCAAGAUUGGUUGAAAAAUCGAGGAAAAUAGAAAAUUACCGAAAUGCCCCUAAAUAUUAGUAUUUUUUCAAUUUAGCCAGAUAAGUUCGUGAAACCUAAUUAUGUGAUAUAAGGAAAUAUAAGUUGAUGGUACAUGAAAUAUUGAUAUAAUGAAUUAUCUGAUUUAUGUUUAUGAAAAAACGGUAAGAGAAUGAUAUUUAUCAUGACAUGUAAAUAUGUGAUUGUUUUUGAUACGUUGAUACAAGGAAAAUAAGUAUGUUUAGGGGCAAUAUGUUUGAUUUUGAUUGGUCCCAAAUAUGAAUGCUAGAUAAAAUAAAAUAUCUGAUAAAUAAAUUUUUAAAUCCGGUAAUGCCUCGUAUUCUGUUCUGGUGAAGGAUACGGGUAGGUGGUGUUACAAAUUUGAUAAAAAAUUCUGAAUUUUUAUGAAUACAUGUGCUGUAAAAUUUGUAAUGGAAUUUUGGUUACACUUGGAAUAGGGAGUAAAUUACACAAGUUUCAUUUUUUAAGCCUAGGGACGAAAUGGGAAUUUAUAGAAAAGUUAGGGGCAAAAUGGUAAUUUUUCCUAUGAUGAAAAUUAAGUCCACUUGAAUGUGAAAUAUGGUAAAUUGAUGUUAAAUUUACUCGUAUAGAUCAAGAUAGACCAAAUUCGAAGCUAGAACAAGGAAAGAGGAAAAUGUCAGAUUAGUAGAUUUUGUGUACACGAAUAUUGUCGAGGUAAGUUUGUGUAACUAAAUUAUGUUUAUUUACAUGCUUGCAUUGACUGUAUUUAUGUAAAUUGUAUAAAUGUCAUAAAUAUGUGAAAUGAUUGCAUAUCCGAUCAAGCCCGAUAAAUGAAAAUCUUUAAAUUAGAUGAUAAUGCCUGAUAAAUGAUAAACGAUAAAAAUGUUACUUAUGUGCUUGAAAUAGAUGUGAAAUGUGUUUAUUUGAAUUAUAUGAAUGUUGUGGAUGCAUGAAAUAACCACAUGCCCGAUAAUGCUUAAGAAAAAUGUUUAAAUCCCGGUUGAAUAAAAUGGAAAAUUGGUGGAUAUGUGAUUUCUCGAAAUGAAUGAGGUAUUGUAUUUGUUGCUGACGGGAUUUAACUCGGACGAGUAAUCCUGUUGACCUCAUUACAGAAAGGAUUUAGCCCGAACGGAUAAUGCUAAUAUAAGUCCUCUCGAACAUAUGUUAUGGAUUAGAUUUAGCCCAGACGGGUAAUUCAGAUCAAGCUCCUUAGAGCAUAUGUCAUAAAAAUGAUUUAGCUUGGACUAAUAAUCCUGUUGUAUACAUGUGUGGCUUGAGAGUGUACUCCUUGAAAUAGUACCUUAUAGGUUCCAUUGAAUAUGAAUUGACGAAUCCUGAUUUGUACACCAUGAGUGUACUACCUGUGUAUCCAUCGAUAUUUCAGAUAAAUUCAACGAGUAAAAGUUCUUGACAUGAAAAGAUAUGAAUAAGAAAUGAGUUAUUACACAUAUCGGCCUGAAAUACAUGAAAAUGACGAUACGUGAUAAUUGAUAUAUGAAAAUAUGAAAUGACAAUAUUGUAUAUGGAAUUUAUUUGAUGAGUAUGUACAUCCUUGAUUAUAGACUUGUACACCUUGAGUGUACUAAUCAUGACCUUGAUAUUCCGAGUAUUAUGAGUAAAGUUCUGAUAUGAAAUGAUCUGAACUCAAAAUGAACUAGUAUGAAAUUAUACUUGUAAUAAUGAGAUAAAUUAUGCAUGUUGAAUGAAUACAUGUUGUGGAAAGCAUAUGUGCUUGGAAUCUUGAUUGUUGUUGAGCCUAUAUAUGUUUUGAUGUUAUUAUGGAUUAUAUGACUAACAAGGACAAUGAGGAUGUGUGUGUAGGGCUUGAGGUCAAAUUGAUUAAAUAUGCCUUACAUAGUUACCUCAUAAUAGAACGAAUGGUAAGUUAAGUACCAUGUUAUACGAAAUUACUACGCAUUUUAUGCUUACUUAGUUUUAUUUCCCUAUUUUAUAGUAAAUCGAAAGCUCGUUGGAUUGGAAGCUUGGCAGAGAGCACUCACACUAUCUAUCAGCCCAUGUCGGUACAAUAUGGUAAAUCAAUUAUGGUUGUAAUGGCAUAUAUAGGAUAUAUGGGCCAUAUUGGCAUGUAAAUGUAAUUGAUGCUUGGAAUCUAGCCAUUGGAAUGGCUAAUAUUGGUUUGUUUUAAUAUACUUGUAAUGUCAGGCUAUGGUAGCUACAUAUAAUUUAGGUAGUUGAUCAAAUUAUAUCUUACUUGAGGGCUUAACUAAGGUAAGAUUAUAGACAUGUAUGCAUGAAAUGAUAUGCCAUGAUGAAUGAUAGAAUUUGCUUGAUUUGAAUGCUUGAAAUGGUUGGUAUUUGGAUGUGUCAUUCAAGUGCAGGUUAUGGGAGUGAUUUUGGGUGAGAAAUAAAGAUAGGAAGCUUUAUUUUGUCCACAUGGGCAGACACACGGGCGUGUGUCUAGACCGUGUGUGCCACAAGGCUGGAUACAUGGGCGUGUAGUUAGGUCGUGUGUCCUCUGUACCUUAAAUUCGAGAAAAUAGAAUGCUCAAAAUUGAGCACACGGGCAGAGACAUGGACGUGUGUCUUAGCCGUGUGAUACUGCACCUAAUUUCAAAUUGAAUUAAUUAACCACACGGCCUAGCACACGGGCGUGUGGCAUGGCCGUGUGCAAAGUUAGAGAGUUACACGGGGUUAAACAUGGCCUCUAGCACGGGCGUGUCCUAGGGUCACACAGGCGUGUCCCUUGGACCACACAGGCAUGUGAGCCCAGCACCUUGGAAAAAUUUUGAAAUUUCACGAAAAAUUCUUAGAGAUUCUGAUUAAGUCCAGACUCGAUUCUAAUGCUCGUAUUGGACCUCGAGGGUCCAUUUAAGGGACGUUUUGAAUUAUCUUAAUAAAUAAAUAGUGAAUAACAUGAAAUGUCUGUAAAUGUUCUGAAAAUCUCCGGUAACACUCUGUAACCCUAUUUUAGUAUCAGAUACGAGUUAGGGGUGUUACAUUUAGUGGUAUCAGAGCUACGAUUUAGUCGGCUCUCGAACUGAACUUAGCGUAUGUGGAGUUUAGAAAUAAAUGCCAUUAUAUAACCUGUGAUAGUGUGAUUGUAACAGUCUAAUUUAGACUCUAGUCGGAACAGUGGUUUCGAGACCACGUAACCUAUUUUAAAAAAUAUUUUAAUAUUAUUUUCUAUGUCUGUGAUAUGAAUUUAUAUCUAUGAAGUUUCUGUAAUUUAAUUUUUCUGUUUUUGUGCUUAAUUAUGAUAAAGGAUUAAAUCGCGUCAAAUGCAAAAGUUUCAUGCUAAUUAUUAAUGGGGUUAAUUGGCCUUGGCUUUUAAAAUAAGGGUCCUUGUAUGGUAAUUAUGCCAUAAAUAAGGGUAAUGGACAUUCAUGGACAUAUGGUAGGUGAAUUUUAAUGUUAAUAACUAAAGGGUAAUAUGGUAAUUGGUGUAAUAAGUUAAAUUUAAUAAAAUAAAGGCCAUUGUAUGUUUAUUUUCUCAUCAUCUUCAACCGAUUACAGAGAAAAGAAACAACCAUUGAAGCUUUGUGAUAUUCGACUAUUGCAUGAUUAAUUAGGUGAGAUAUUUUGCUCAGUUUUUGAUAAUUUCUACUUUUCAGUGAUCGUUGCUUCGUGUUCUUGAAAACCCAUGUCUGAAUUUCUGUUGAAGAUUUUGAAAUGUGCCAUUGAUGAUUGUAUGAGCUUUGUAAUGUUUUUAUAUGGAUUAUGAAACAUAUAUGUGAGAUUAUCAUACUUUGUUCUUGAAUUUUUGAUGGAAUAGAGCUAUUUGGGCUAAUUUGUGAAAAUGAGGUUUUGAAGGACUAAAUUGUGAAUUAGAUAUGUUAUUUGGAUUGUAUGGAAGCUAUGUAUAAUCAGCCAAGCUAUAGUUUUGGUGAAUUUUGCAUAUUUGUGAUUUUGUGAAAAAUGGACUAAAUUGUCAAAGUGUGAAAAUGUAAGGGCUAAAAUGUAAAGUGCCAUAUAUAUGUGUUCAUGGAUUAUUUUGAAUGAAAUUAAUGAUUGAUUGGUUGAAUUUGAAUUGUAUUAGAUCAAGAACAAAGAAAAUCAGACUUAGAUCGAGGGAAGUCCAAAAUAGUUGAAUAGUCGACUCGUUUCCGUCCGAAAUUCGUUCGAGGUAAGUCAAAAUACAAUUACAUGUUAAAUUGAUUGAAUGUUGUAUAUACUAGUUAUAAUCUAUAUUAGACAGCUGUGAGAGUCUGAUGAAUGAAUUUCGUGUAAAUUCCGAUAAUAUACUAGUAUUUGAAAAGCUCGAUAUGUUUCUAAAGGAACAUUGACAUCGAUUUGAGAUAUCGUGUAAGACCGUGUCCGAGACACAGGCCUCGAUUUGAGAUUUACAUGUAAGACCAUGUCUGGGACAUCGGCAUCAUAUCUGAUUUCGUGUAAGACCCUAUCUGGGACAGAGGCAUCGAUAUUGAAUUACAUGUAAGACCACGUCCGGGACGUCGGCAUUGUAUCUGUUUAUGAGUAUCUGUAUCGUUUCUGAACUGUCUAAUGAUAGAGUACGAGUUAUGGAAAUGAAUAUAUGAAAUGUAUAAUCUAUACAGGUACGUUUGUAUCGUAUGAAAUUUCUGAAUAUGAAAGACUCUGUUUCUGUGAAAUAAUGAAUGCGGUGUAAGCACGAAAUCAUAGAAAUGAAACAUGACAUGUAUACAAGCAAAUGAGUAUGGUUAGGCUCAUGAAUUGCUCUGUGAAAUGGCUAUGAAUUCUUACUAUUGAUUUUUACUUUAUAUGCUUUAAUAGUUAGACCAAUUGUAUGUGGCUUACUAAGCUCUUUGUAGCUUAUUCUGUGUGAUUUCUGUCUGUCUUACAGUUAUCGUAGCUACUGAAGGCUCGGGGAUAGUCGAGGAUUGUCACCACACUAUCGAACUCAUUUUGGUACUUUUGGAAGUGUAAAUAUUUUAAAGUAUGACAUGUAUAGGCUAGAAUGUUUAUGUAUUUAAGCUUUGAUAUGUAUAUAUGUUAUGCCAUGAGAGUUGGCUAGCAAAUGGUAUGUUUGUGCUUAGUUUUGGUAAAUGGUUUGUGAUGCCAAAUUGUGUAUGCUUGUAAUGGUUAUAUGGCCUUGUAUGUAGUUGUAACGCCCCAAAAAUUGGGCCUAGAAGAGUUGGACUUUGAGUCUGGGAUUCGGAUAGAAGGAAACCUGAAUAUUGAGGAGUUUUAAAUAUUACUAGUGUUUAAAAAUAUAUAUAUUGAUAAAAUAUUUAUGUUAUUACUAAUAUUUUAAUUUUUAUAAAAAUUAUUAUCAUUAUAAUUAUUAGAUACAAAUAUAUUUAUAAAAUUAUUGUUGUUAAUUUAGUGUUUAAAUUAAAUUAUUAUUAGAAAAUUUUACUUUAUCUAUUUUUAUUGAUUUAUGGAAAUUAUAAUUAUUAUUAUUAGGAAAAAAUAUAUAUAUUAUUGUAGUUGAAAUUUUCAUUAUUAUGGUUAUUAUUAUUAUUAUUUUAGUUUUUAAAUAAAUUUAGAAGCAUUUAAAGUGUGGGAAAGAUUCGGUCCAAGACUCUAGCAAAAAUUAUUAUUUUUGUUUCUUUAGGGGAUCUGGGAAGUAAGGUUUAUUAAUAAGUUGGGCUAAAAUUGGACAUAAGGAGGAGCCUGGCCUUGUGGUUAGGCUUGUUAAGCAGUAGGAAGGGAGCAGGGGUUCGAUUCCCUGUGUGCGCAAAUGUGGGUUUUUAUUUUAGAAAAACCAAGGGCUGUCGCAGGUAGGCCUUAUUAAAUGUUCAGGCUAAUUCAUGUCAGAAGCAAGCAUCUGGCCUAGUGGCUAAAUAUGCUAGGAGGGCAGAGGAGGAGCCUGGGUUCAAGGCAUGGCGUGCGCAAUUUGGGUUGUUUUUAAUAUGCAGAUCGCGGCUAGAAUAAGGGUUAAGAGCAGUUGUGGGUAUAUUCAACACAAAGAGAGCUUGUGGCGCAGUAGCAGUAGCGUGCUAGACAUAUGGAGAGGGUGCAGGUUCGAUUCCGUACGCGAGCGAAUUUUGUUUUAUUUUUAAAAUGGACGAGGCUACAGCAGGUAAGGUUUAAUAAUUUAUGCUACGCUAUUAUAUUAAGAACAAGGUCGCGUCCUAGUGGAUGGCAGCAUGCGUGGGAGCUCGGAGGUCCCGUGUUUGAGCUAUCUUACGUGUAAAUAAAUUACAAUUUUGCUGCACGUGGGGAAGGUAUUUGAACUGGACCGAAACACCCAGACCUUGAUUGGAAUUUGAAUUAAGCAGGUUACUGUACGGGGAAAGAAUUUGGGUGUAAUUCAAAUUAAAAUUUUGGAAAAAAUUAAGGAAGGAAUUUUAAUUGAAUUCAAAUUAGAAGGAGGUGGGGUAAGUAUUUAAGCCAACUAGGGGGUGUUAGUUGGGGAGUUUUUUGGCUAGUCUCUUGGAUUUGAGUAAAUUAGCCAUUGCUGAUUUUUGUUCCAUUUGAUUGUUUUUUUCUUCAGUAUAUAUUUGGGGUAUUUUAGAAUAUUUCCUUUGGGUUUUGAUAUUUUCUCUUCUUCCAUUCCCUUUCCUUCUUCUUUUCUUUUCUAUUUCUCUCCAUUUACUUUCUCCUCUUCUUUUUCUUUUUACCUCUAUAGCUAAAUCUUCCUAUCAUCCUGUACAUCUCCAUCUUUUAUCAGUCGUUUCUAGACCUUCAUAACCAUUUGUCAUAAAAAUUCGAAAUCCCAAAAGCCUAUAUUUUCUUCUGUGCCUAUUUUUCCUAGCCAAAUCUUUUUACUUCUCUUCAUCAUUCUUGAUCGAUACUCUAGUCCUCUAAACCCCAAGUUUCUGUCAACAAAGCCAUUACAAAAUCCUUAUCUUUUCUUCAUUGUUACAAAAAGCCAAAAACGCAUAGCCAUAGGGACACAACCGAAUUUUAAGAUCACUGAAGGCUCAACUUUUGUUAUCAUUUGAGGGCUUAGAACUGCAUCAGAAUCGAGUAGGAAUUAAGGGGAAUCGUUGACUGAAGGAAUCGGUGGUAAGUCCUUCCAACCUAGUCUUUAUUUCGUAUUUUAGAAAAAGCCAAAACCCCUAAAGGUUAGGGAGGCUGUCGAUUUGGGUUUAUAGCCCUAAGGGGUUGUGGUAACUGUUUUAUCUUGAUGAUAGUGUGAUCUAGAGGCUGCUGAUUAAAGGCUUGGACAAGGGGAACAAGUGGAUCUAAAUCUAGUCGCUAACUUCGGCAAAGGUAAGAUUGCUAGUGCCUAAGGUGUUAUUGGCCGAAUAAGGUAAGGGAUUAAUAUGUAGUUCAUUUCGGUAGUUAGAUUAACGUGGUAGUAAUAUAAUUGUAGGCAGUGCGUGCGUGGAUCUCGUCAACGAAUCGUCAUAAAACAGGUGUGUAAACGACACCCACUCUUAGACUAGAUCGGUAAAAGUCGAAAAGCCGAAAAGCUGAAAAGUCGGCAUUUGUGAAGUUGCGAGCGUGCGAGCGCUCGUGAGGUGGUUUGGUUGGUAAUUUUGGUAAUCGCAAGUAGUAUGAUUGCAGAGUGCGCAAUUCGUGCACUUCGGUAUAUUUAGGCUUAAUGGGCUGAAAACGGGUUAGUGGGUCAAUGGGCCCAAUUCGAUAAAAACGCUCGAUAAGUGCUUCUGUUAAUGUGUUAAUGGUUAGAAUAUGUAUGUAAACUCUAGAAUAGUAAAUUUUAUUAAAAUACGCCUAAGUAUGAAAAUUAUCAUUUUACCCCUAGGUGCAAAAUGACCGUUAUACCCUUAGGGUUAAUUUUGACUGAAAUACAUGAUAUUCUGAUUCUGUUUGUUAUAUGCCAUGACAUGUAUAUCUGUUGCAUGGGGUUGGGUUUUGUUAUGGAGGAAGAACCCGUUCUGGUGGCUGUGCCACAUAUUCUGAUAUAAGCAGUUUUGCUGCGGAUUAUAGUUAGUGCCGUAACCGGUGCUAACACUGUAAGUGUAGGGAUGGCGUGGGUGAUUUAUUCCCCACAGGAAGUGUAGGGAUGGACGGAGGCAAGUGCAGGGUUGGAUGGGGUUAUCAUGCAUUAAUCAUAUGAGACUAUUUUGUUAUGGGCCAACUGUAUUAAAAUGGGCCCAACUGUGUUGAUAUGGGCAAGGCCCAAUAUAUCUUGACUCGUAACAGGGCGACGACCCAGAUUAAUACUGAUAUGGGCUAGGCCGAAUAUACUCUGAUACUGUAAGGGGCUAUGGCCCAGAUUAAUAUUGAUAUGGGCUGAGGUCCAGUUAACACUGAUUUCUGAAUAGGGCUUAGGCCCAGUAAAGCUUGAACUGAUUUGGGCUCUGGUUGGGAUACUUUACACACUAAGUUUUCCAAACUCACCCCCCACUUUUCCCAUCUUUGCAGGUGAGCCUUAGAUCGAUGGACUUGGAGCUGGACGGGGUUCAGAGAGGCCACGAAGAUUAAGUUUCUGUUUUCUUUAAAAUAAGUUUCGCAUUUAUUAUUUUGAUUAUUUUUUUUAUUCUGGUUUAAGUUGUGAUAAGGUGUUCUUUUUAUGAUUUUUAAUAUUUUAGGUUAUUAAAUUGGUUAGCUCUAGGGCGCGUUUUAUAAAAGUUACUUAUUUUCAAAAUAUCACGAUUACCGAGCAAAGCUUCCGCAACGUAAAUGUUUUCAAAGGAAAUAAAUAUUUUAAAUAGACUUAAACUUAAUUUGUUGUUCGUGGACAAGCAAUAUGCUUUAAGUGUGGCAAUGGAUGUGUGCAUGUCUAGGAUUGGAUCCAUGAAGAGCUUGGUACUUAAGCAGUCCAAUAGACUCACCACCUCUUUUCUGGCUUCCUACCUGGUGCACAACUUCCAUUCACUUUAAGCCAUAACAAAGAAGGUUUGAUUUCUCGAUACUUAACUGUUUUUAAAAUAACAUGUUUCUGCCACUACAAAGGUUUAUAAGUUUUCAAAGUUUCCCAUAAGAUUUUACAAGAUUGUUAACAAUGUUUUGAUUGUUACAAUGAAUCACGUUUUGGAAAAAAAAUAAGGCUAAAGUUUUAUACAAGUUUAAACGGUAAAAGUUUCUAAACAUCAAAAAGGGUUUUCAAUGAAAACAUGGUUUUCGAAAAACACUUCAAUGUGACACGCUGGAUUCGGUCGUAACGUCUGGGUCGGGUUUGGGGUGUUACAGUAGUAGUCAAUUUGAAAUAUGCCAAGUUGAAGAAAUAUGGGUUCGAAUCUAAGAGAAAUUCUAGAGAAUGUUUGCUACCCUGAGAUUUUCUUGUUUUUCCUGUAUGUAGUAGUCAAUUUGAAAUAUGCCAAGUUGAAGAAAUGGUAAGUUUAAGCAUGAGUUAGAAGGUGCCAUAAGUGAGCUAUAAAAUGAGCAUUUUGGCAUGUUGUUGUAAUAAAAUUUUUAAUGUGUUUUGGUAUAAAUGUUGUUUAAUAUUGCUUGUAGGAAUGACCCAAAAAGGGGUGGCAAAUUGGCUUAAACCAAACCUGUAUUAUGCCACACGGUCAAGGAACAUGGGUGUACCUUAUGGCCAUGUAUGCAAAUCUUAAGAUCACACGGUUAAGACAUAUAGGCAUGUCAUAUGGCCAUAGGCCUAAGUCAGUAGCCAGCUAAGUUUCACACGGUGAUGGCACACGGCCGUGUCUGUUGGUCGUGUGUAAAAGUCAGUAUAUAUACUCUAUUUUGGCACGGCCUGGUCACACGGGCGUGUGACCUCAACAGAAUUGAAUUUUUUUUAAGUUCUGAAAAUUCUAAAUGUGUUCGAUUUAGUACUGACCUGUUCUAAAUGUAUGUCUUAGGUCUUGGAGACGUCCAUAAGGGAUAAAUUAUUGAAUUUACUUAUGCAUUAAUAUUAUGUGAUAUCUGUGAUUCUGUAUUGAUCUGUAAUGUUCUGUCUGUCUGGUAAUACCCCUUACUUAUUCCAGUGACCGUUACGAGAUAGGGGUGUUACAUUUUAUUAGUAUCAGAGCUAUGGUUUAGUCAGUUAUAGGACUACCAUAGUGUAUUUGAGUAUAGCUAUACAUGCCAUAUAUCUGAAACUGCGAUAGUGUGAUGAAUGCCGACAUUGAAUUGUGCUUUUAUAUAGCAAAUGUAUCCCGAUAGAGCUGUAGCUGACGAUGUUGAAAGUAAUGCGCUUGCUCCUGCGUAAGGGACAGUGCAAGAUGGUUCUUGACCGGCUACGAGUAGCCGUGAUGGUGAGGCUAAACAAGCCUUCUAUCAGAUGAUGAAUGAUUGGUUCACUUAGUAUAUUAGAACCAAUCCAGCUGUAGAACCACCUCCACCCCAGUUAAUCCUUCUCAAACUCCUGUUAUGCCACCAAUGAACCUAGUACAGUUGAGUAAACCACUAGUUGAUAAGAUUAGAAAGUAUGGCGCUGAAGAGUUUCGAGCUACAACAAAUGAUGAUGCUAAAAGAGCCGAAUUCUGGUUAGAGAAUACAAUAACAGUGUUUGAUGAAAUGUCUCUGAAUCCUGAGGAAUGUGUAAAAUGUGCCGUUUUACUUUUGAGAGAUACGGCAUACCAUUGGUGGAAAACUUUAAUAUUUGUGGUUCCGAGUGAACGGGUUGCUUGGGAUUUCUUCCAAGCUGAAUUUCGAAAAAAAUACAUUAGUCAGAGAUUCAUUGAUAAAAAAUGUAAAGAGUUUCUUAAGCUUAAACAAGGCCGUAUGUCUGUUACUGAAUACGAACGAGAAUUUGUAAGAUUGAGCCAGUAUGCUAAGGAAUAUGUAUCAAAGGAAGAAAUAAUGUGCAAAAGGUUUGAAGAUGGACUAAACGAAGAUAUCCGUCUGUUAUUUGGGAUUUUAGAGAUUAAAGAAAUGGUAGUGCUCGUUGAGCGAGCUUGUAAAGCUGAAGAGUUAAGUAAAGAGAAAAGAAAAGCUGAUUCUAAAGCUAGAGAUGUUAGAAAGAGAUCUUUGAAUAGAUCAUUUCAGUCUAUGUCAAAGAAAUUCUGAGAUGAUCAUAGCCGUUCAAAGACUGAUGUAAGACAUUCGAAUCGAGAUUGAACUAGAUCGCAUUCGAAUUUCAGAGCUCCUGAUACUUCUAUUGCAAGUUUCGGGAAUGUUCGAUAUGAGAAACCUGAAUGUAAACAUUAUGGUAAAAGACAUCUGGGAAAUUGUAGAUUGAAUGACUGAGCCUGUUUCCGAUGUGGAUCUCUGGACCAUUUUGUAAGAGAUUGUUCUGAACUUGUGAGCAAGAGAAUGUACAAAAUUCGAGACCGAGCAACACCUCAGCUAGAGGUAGACCUUCUAGAAAUACGGGAAAUGCAAGUGGUGGUCAAAGAGCUACUAGAGAUACUACUGUUAGAUUUGAGGCUAGAGCACCUGCCAGAGCCUAUGCUAUCAGAGCUCGUGAGGAAGCCUCGUCUCCAUACAUGAUUACUAGUACUUUUACUCUUUAUGAUACUUCUGUGAUUGCAUUGAUAGACCCUGGAUCAAUGCAGUCUUAUAUCUGUAUGAAUUUAGUGCACAGUAAGACUUUGCCUGUAGAGUCUACUUAAUUCGUAAUUAGAGUAUCAAACCCCUUAGGAAAAAGUGUCUUGGUUGAUAAAGUUUGCAAGAAUUGCCCGUUAUUGAUUUGAGAUAUCUACUUUCCUGCUGAUCUGAUGCUUUUACCUUUCGACGAAUUUGAUAUAAUUCUAGGAAUGGACUGGUUAGCUUUGCACGAUGCUAUUUUGAAUUGCAAAUGAAUAUUCAUUGAUUUAAGGUGUGAGAAUGAUGAGAUAAUUCGAAUUGAGUCUAGUGAUCUGAAUGGACUACCAACUGUUAUAUCUGUAAUGAAAGUACAGAAAUAUGUGAAGAAAGGCUGUGAAGCCUACUUAGCUUAUGUGUUAGACUCGAAAGUGAAUGAUAAGAAAGUUGAAUCUGUGCCUGCUGUCUGUGAAUUCUCUGAUGUGUUUCCUGAAGAACUACCUCGUUUGCCUCCGAUUCGAGAAGUCGAGUUUGGCAUUGAAUUAGUAUCUGGUACUACUCCGAUUUUGAUAGCUCCAUAUAGAAUGGAUCCGACUGAGUUAAAGGAAUUAAAAUCUCAGUUGCAAGAAUUGAUCGAUCGAGGAUUUGCUAGACCGAGCUUUUCACCAUGGGGUGCUCCUGUUCUAUUUGUGAAAAAGAAAGAUGACACAAUGAGAAUGUGUAUUGAUUAUCGUCAGCUUAACAAAGUGACUAUAAAGAACAAAUAUCCUCUACCCAGAAUUGAUGACUUAUUCCAUCAGUUGAAAGGUGCUAAUGUGUAUUCAAAGAUAGAUCUGAGAUUGGGUUACUAUCAGUUGCGAGUAAAGGACUCUGACAUUCCGAAAACUGCUUUUAGAACGAGGUACGGGCAUUAUGAAUUUUUAUUUAUGCCUUUUGGAUUAACGAAUGCACCUGCUAUCUUUAUGGAUUUAAUGAAUAGGAUUUUUAAACCGUAUUUAGAUCAAUUUUUUGUGGUAUUCAUUGAUGACAUAUUGAUUUAUUCACGUAAUGAAUAUGAGCAUGUCGAGCAUUUGAGAAUUGUGCUACGACUCUGCGAGAGAAACACUUGUAUGCAAACUUCAGUAAAUGUGAGUUUUGGUUGCGAGAAGUUGGUUUCCUUUGUCAUAUUGUAUCAGCCUCCAGUAUUCGAGUUGAUCCGAGCAAAGUUUCGGCUAUUCUGGAUUGGAAACCUCCUAGGAAUGUUUCAAAAGUCUGCAGUUUUCUAGGACUUGUUGGGUACUAUAGAAGAUUCGUAAAAGGUUUCUCAAUGAUUGUGACUCUGUUGACAAAAUUUCUCCCUAAAGAUGUGAAGUUUGAGUGGUCUGAAAAGUGUCAGAACAACUUUGAUCAAUUGAAAGCUUUAUUGACUGAAGCUCCGGUUUUGGUACAACUUGAAUCGGGUAAGAAUUUGUGAUUUAUAGUGAUGCUUCGUUGAUUGGUCUAGGAUGUGUUCUAAUGCAAGAAGGAAAAUUUAUAGCUUAUGCCUUGAGACAACUAAAGCCGCAUGAGAAGAACUAUCCGACUCACGACCUUGAAUUAGCUGCUAUUGUGUUUGCCUUGAAGAUCUGGCGUCACUAUCAGUUUGGUGAGAAAUGUCAUGUGUUUUCUGAUCAUAAAAGUCUGAAGUAUUUAAUGACGUAAAAAGAUUUGAAUCUACGAUAGAGAAGAUGGUUAGAACUGCUAAAAGACUACGAACUUGUGAUUGAUUAUCAUUCGGGAAAAGCAAAUAUUGUUGCCGAUGCCUUAAGUCAGAAAUUGUUGUUUGCUUUGCAUGCGAUGAAUGCCCAUUUGGUUCUGUCUGAUGAUGAUUCAGUUUUAGUUGAAUUAAAAGCAAGACCCUUGUUCUUAUAGCAGAUUAUCGAAGCUCAGAAGAUUGAUAAUGAGAUUUUGGCUAAACGAACUCAAUGUGAUGUAGAGACUGGUUCAGAAUUCAGAGUUGAUAAAGAUAAUUGUUUAAGAUUCCGUGAUCGGAUUUGUGUUCUGAGAAAUCCAGAGUUAAUUCAAAUGAUUCUGAGUGAAGCUCACAGUAGUUGUUUAUCUGUACAUCCGGGUAGUACAAAAAUGUAUAAUGAUCUGAAGUAGCAUUAUUAGUGGUCUGGAAUGAAAAGAGAUAUCUCUGAUUUUGUUUCUAAAUGUUUAAUCUAUCAGCAAGUUAAAGUUGAAAAUCAGGUGCCAUCUGGGUUAUUACAACCGAUUAUGAUUCCGGAGUGGAAAUGGGACCAAGUGACCAUGGAUUUUGUUGUGGGUUUGCCCCUGUCUCCAAGAAAGAAAGAUGCAAUUUGGGUUAUAGUUUAUCGUUUGACGAAAUCAGCUCAUUUUACUCCGAUUCGAUUUGAUUACUCACUCAAUAAAUUAGCUGAGUUAUAUAUUUCUGAUAUGUGAUAUUGCAUGGCAUGCCAUUGUCGAUAGUGUCAGAUAGAGACCCAAGAUUGACAUUGCGAUUCUGGAAGAAAUUACAAGAUGCUCUGGGUACUAAAUUGCGUUUUAGCACUGCUUUUCAUCCAAAAAUAGAUGGUCAAUCUGAAUGGAUUAUUCAGAUACUCGAGGAUAUGUUGAGAUGUUGCAUUCUUGAGUUUGAAGGUACGUGGGAACAAUAUCUACCUUUGAUUGAAUUUGCUUAUAAUAACAGUUUUCAAUCAAGCAUCAAAAUGACACCGUACGAAGCCUUAUACGGUAGGAAGUGUAGAACUCCGUUAUACUGGUCUGAGCUUAGUGAGAAUAAGAUUUACGGUAUUGAUCUGAUAAAAGAAACAGAACAGAAAGUGAAAGUAAUCUGAAAUAGUUUGAAAGCUGCCUCUGAUCGUCAAAAAUCUUAUGCGGAUUUAAAACGAAAAGAUAUCAAAUUUGAGAUUGGUGAUAAAGUGUUUCUGAAAGUAUCUUCGUGGAAGAAACUGUUCCGAUUUGGUAAAAAGGGCAAGUUGAUUCUGAGGUUCACCGGACCGUAUGAAAUCAUCGACCGAGUUGGGCCAGUUGCUUAUAGAUUGAGGCUACCAUCUGAGUUAGAAAAGAUUCAUAAUGUAUUUCACAUAUCGAUGCUUCGACGAUACAGAUCUGAUCCUUCGCAUGUAAUUUCACCAUCUGAGAUUGAAAUUCAGCCUGAUAUGACUUAUGAAGAAAAGCCGAUUCGUAUUUUAACUUGCAAGGUUAAAGAGUUACAAAAUAAGAAAAUUCCAUUAGUUAAGGUGAUGUGGCAUCGACACGAUGUUGAAGAGGCCAUAUGGGAGUCUGAAGAUGCUAUGAGACAACAAUAUCCGAAUCUGUUUAACGGUAAGAUUUUUGGGGACCAAAAUCUCUAAAGGGGGUAGAAUUGUAACAGUCCGACUUAGACCCUAGUCAGAAAAGUUGUUUUGAGACCAUGUAACCGAUUCUGAAAAAUAUUUUAAUAUUAUUUUUUGUGUCUGUGAUAUGUGAAUUUAUAUCUGCAAAGUUUCUAUGAUUUAAUUUGUCUGUUUCUGUGCUUAAUUAUGAUAAAGGAUUAAAUCGCGUCAAAUACAAAAGUUGUAUGCUAAUUGUUAAUGGGGUUAAUUGGCCUUGGCUUUUAAAAUAAGGGUCAUUGCAUGGUAAUUAUGCCAUUGAUAAGGGUAACGGACAUUGAUGGACAUAUGGUAGGUGAAUUUUAAUGUUAGUAACUAAAGGGCGAUAUGGUAAUUAGUGUAAUAAGUUAAAUUUAAUAAAAUAAAGGCCAUUGCAUGUUUAUUUUCUCAUCAUCUUCCACUGAUUAUAGAGAAAAGAAACAGCCAUUGAAGCUUUGUGAUAUUCAGCUAUUGCAUGAUUAAUUAGGUGAGUUUAUUUUUCUCAGUUUUUUAUAAUUUCUACGUUUCUGUAUCAUUGCUUCGUGUUCUUCAAAACCCAUGUCUAAAUUUCUGUUUCUGUUGAAGAUUUUGAAAUGUGCCAUUGAUGAUUGUAUGAGCUUUGUAAUGUUUUUAUAUGGAUUAUGAAACAUAUAUGUGAGAUUAUCAUACUUUGUUCUUGAAUUUUUGAUGGAAUCGAGCUAUUUGGGCUAAUUUGUGAAAAUGAGGUUUUGAAGGACUAAAUUGUGAAUUAAAUAUGUUAUUUGGCUUGUAUGGAAGCUAUGUAUAAUCAGCCAAGCUAUAGUUUUGGUGAAUUUUGAAUAUUUGUGAUUUCCCAUUAGAAUUGGUGAAUUCGAUGCUCCUAAUGCUUUAAUUUCAUGUAUUAUACUUAGGAGAGCAUAGAAGAGCGAAAGGAACGAGAAACGGGCCAAAAACAGAGAAAAUGGGCCAAAGUACGAAAUCAACACGCCCUGGACCUCCUCACACGGGCAGACCACACGGCCGUGUCAAUUUGGCAGGCUCGAGCACGACCUGAAGUGAUCGCACAUGGGCGUGUCACACGGGCGUGUCCCUGCCGAGCCCAAGUUGAGUCCAAUUCGGAAAAGGCUAAUUCUGAGGGCUUUUAAGCAUUCCAAAGCCUAUAAAUACACCCUAGAGGAAGAAGAAAUGAGACACAGGAUAGGGAGUAAGGAAUUACUCCAAGGAAGCUGAUUGAUCCAUCUCAGAAGCCGGAUUCACCAUAAAGACUGAAGAUCUCUCCUCAAUUUCCCCUUCAGGAGUUUUGGGUUUUCUUUAUAUUUUGUAUUCUUUUUUAUUCUGAAAUGUUUUCUUAUUUAGUUAUGAACUAAAACCCCUAAAUACCUAAGGGAAUGAAACCUAAGACGAAUCUUGUUAUUAUUUUCUGAAUUGUGUGAUAAAUAUUUAACUUGUUCUUAAUUAUGUGUUCUUAAUUCUUAUUUUGAUAUCCCAGGAUACUGAUUCAAGAUAAGCUCUUAGUCAGAAGAAGAAUAGACCCUGUCUAAGAGUACAUUUGUCAUAAUUAAGCGGAGUUGUUUGCGCGCCUAGACAUAGGGUAACAAGAUUUUUCCAGAUUAGGGUGAAACCUAAUAAGGGGAUCCAUAGAUCGAGUUAAUGCAACCCUAGGGUGUUAAUUAGAGAAAGGUCUCAAUUAUUCAAUCUAAGGAUUAGAUGUUAUUAGUCUUGAUUAGGGAUAAUAACAUAACUUAGGGAUCUCUAUGGAACAAGUUAAUUGAAUAAAUCGUCCGAUUCGGAGCCAGAAUAACAAGUAGAGUCUAGGUGGAUUUUUCUUUAGGUAUUGUCUUAAUUCAAUCUAUUUUCCCAAAAGCAAUUCCCCAAUUCUAUUCUCUGUGAAUUCUUAGUUUAGAUAAUUAGUUAGUUAAAACAAAACCUCUUUGUUCUUAGGCUAGAUAAUAAAAAGACAGUCAUUACUAGUACUUUUAGUUCCUUUGGGUUCGACAAUCCGGUCUUGCUAAAACUACACUACUAUUUGAUAGUUACACUUGCCUACAUCGCGAUAAUAGUUAGUUUCAAGAAUGAUUAAUUAUAAAUAUUUAAAACCUACCACGAAAUCACGCGUUCACUAUGAAGCUAUGACCUUACCUUCUUGCAUAAGCACGUACCCCAAACCAUUCAAGGAGGCAUCACUAUAAACCACAAACUCCUUGCCCGUCUCCGGUUACACUAACACUAGGGCUUCGAUCAGCAAAGCCUUUAAUUUCUUGAAACUCUGUUGGCACUUUUCUGUCCAUUCAAAUUUGACAUCCUUUUGCAACAGCCUUGUCAUCGACGUAGCUAUCAUAGAGAAUCUAUUUACAAACCGUCUAUAAUAUCCAGCUAAACCCAAAAAGCUUCAAACCUCAGUUACAUUCCUCGGCAAUUUCUACUCAACAAUAGCCGAGAUCUUGCUUGGGUCAACUCUAAUCCCGUCAUCCGACACAAUGUGCCCUAAAAAUCUGACUUCUUUAAGCCAAAAUUCACUCUUACUAAACUUGGCGUAAAGCUACUUAUCUCUCAAAGUUUGUAACACAGUUCUCAAAUGCUCAGCGUGUUCACUUUCAUCUCGCGAGUAAAUUAGUAUGUCAUUAAUAAAAACCACUACGAACUUGUCCAAAUACGGCCAAAAAAUGCGAUUCAUCAAAUCCAUAGACACCGCCUGGGCAUUAGUCAAUCCAAAGGGCAUGACAAGGAACUCAUAAUGCCCGUAUCUUGUCUGAAAAGUAGUUUUUGGUACAUCUUGCUCUUUAACUCUCAACUGAUAAUAACCAGACCUCAAGUCUAUCUUGGAGAAUACAGUGACCCCCUUUAACUGAUCAAACAUAUCAUCGAUCCUUGGCAAAGGAUAUUUGUUCUUCACUGUUACUUUGUUAAGCUGCCUAUAGUCGAUGCGUAACCUUAUCGAUCCAUCUUUCUUCUUCACAAAGAGUACCGGAGCACCCCACGGGGAAAAAAUCGGUCUCGUGAACCUUUGUCCAUUAACUCUUGCAAUUUUGCUUUCAACUCCUUUAAUUCCAUUGGAGCCAUCCUAUACGGAGCAAUUGAGAUAGAUGCCGUUCUAGGGACCAACUCAAUUCCAAACUCGACUUACCUCAUUGGAGGUAAUCCAGGUAAUACUUCCAGAAACAUGUCUGUAAACUUACAAACCACUGGUAUCGAUUCAAUCUUCAAUUCAGACACUUGAGUAUUCAACACAUAAGCUAGGUAAGCCUCGUAUCCUUUCCUCAAAUAUUUCUCAGUAGUCAAAGAUGAUAUUAAUACAGGUAGAUUAUUUGACUAAUCUGGUCCAACUCGAAGAAUUGUCUUCACAUUUCAGCUCAAUUACUUUUCUCCCACAAUCCACUACAACACUAUGAGAAGUCAACCAAUCCAUCCCAGGGAUUACAUCAAACUCAUUAAACAAUAAUAACAUCAAGUUAGCCGAAAAACAAUGACCUCUAAUUAUCAAAGGGCAAUUCCUACAUACUUGGUCCACUAGUACAUGUCUGUCUAAAGAAUUGGACAUUUUUAUUACAAACUCAGUGGACUCUACUAGACUACUCAUACGGGGUAUCAAUUCCAUACAAAUAUAAGAGUGGGUAGAUCCCGGGUCAAUUAAAGCAACAACAGAUAUUUCAUGGAUAGAAAAGGUACCCGUGAUCACGUGGGGAGACUCUCCCUCUUCCCGAGCUCGUAUAGCAUAAGUCCUUGCAGGCACUCUGCCCUCAGACCUCACCACAGCAUCUCUUGGCAUGCUUCUACUGCUACCCCCACUUUCGAGGUUCUUCUGUGGCCUACCCCUCAAAGGGGAACUACUCGCUGUCACAUCUUGUUUUCUCUUUCUCAUUCAAUUUAGGACAAUCAUAGAUGAAGUGUUCCAAUGAUCCGCACUUGAAACAACCCCUUUCAUUCCCUCGGCACUCGCCAAAAUGAAGCCUACCACAUUGCGAGCAUUUUAGCCUAUUUGGCCGAGUGCUAGCAACACUUGCGACCGAAGUGGUCUAGGCUUUAGAAGUUAUGUUCUGCCGGUUCUUGUUCCUAUUUGAAUACCCCACUGAAGCACUCGAUCGAGUAGUAAACUCUCUCUAUCUUUUAGAUGAAGAUUGAUGUGAUUUCCCCAUCUGUCUCUUCUUUGAAUCCCGUGACUCAAAAGCCACUUUCCUCCUUUCUUUAAUCAACUCUUCGGCCUUAUAGGCUCUUUCAAUAAGUGCUACAAAUUCCCGCAGCUCUAAGAUGCCAACAAACACUUAAACAUAUUCAUUGAGGUCGUCCUCAAACCUCUUACACAUGGUGGCUUAUGUAGAUAUGCACUCUCAAGCAUACUUGCUAAGCCUUACAAACUCACGUUCAUAUUCCGUCACUGACGUUCGCCUUGCUUUAGCUCAAGGAAUUCCUUCCUCUUUUGGUCUAUAAACUGCUGACUAAUAUACUUCUUUCAGAACUCUUCCUAGAAGAAUUCCCAAGUUACCCUCUCUCUCGAUACCAUAGACACGAGAGUGUUCCACCACUGGUAGGCUAAAUCACUCAAGAGUGACACUGCACACUUCACGCACUCCUCAGGCAUGCAUGACAGUUCAUCAAAUACCCUAAUGGUAUUUUCUAGCCAAAACUCUGCUCUCUCUGGGUCAUCAUCUAUGCUAGCCCGAAAUUUCUCGGCCCCUUGUUUCCGGAUCUUGUCUACUGGAGGGUUCUCUCUUCUAAACUUGUCCGUGCCUUGUGAAGCUACCGGGGCAUACUGAGGAAUCGGAGGAGGUGGGGGAGGUGGAGCGUUCAGAUUUGCACGAACAAACUCCGUAUACGAAGCAUCCAUCAUUUGGAGGUAGGCUUCUCUAGCCCUUCUGCCUUGACCCAUAGUUACGGGCUCACUCUCUACUGGCGUGAUCCUUUCAGCGGGAGCCGACGCAUUACUUUCCACGUCAUCUGCCGUGGUUCUAUUAGGAUCCAUUUACUAUAUGGAAACAUAAUUUAUAAUCAUCAGAGAUCAUUACACUAUCAAUAUACAGCCAUGGCAUGUAUAGCUAGACUUGUACUCUUGAUAGGUUAGUCCUAGAACCGAUUAAACCAUAAAUCUGAUACCACUAAAUGUAACACCCCAUACCCGUAUCCUAUAUCGUGACGAAAUACGAGGCGUUAGCCAACUUUAAACUCAAGCUUUCAUUCAUUUCUGAGUUACCAAAACUCUAUUCAACUUUAAAACUUAUCAACAUAUCUUGAUUACGGAUUUAUGAGGCCCAAAACACACAUCGUAAAUCAUCUGGGACCAUUUUGGGCCCUUUUUCCAACUAUAGAAAAAUGUCACUUAUCAAAAGGACACACGCCCGUGUGGAAGGGUAACAUGCCAGUGUGACCAUUUUGACAUGGUCGUGCUGAUGGCCCGUGUGGCUCACACGACCUAAGCACUCUGGGACACGCCCGUGUAGAAUUAAUUUCUAAUUCACACCUACCAGGGUUUUCACAUGGCCAGACACACGCUCGUGUCAAUGGCCCGUGCCCCUCAUACGGCCGUGACACUCCCGUGUCCUAGCCCGUGUGCAAAAACAUGGACAUUCUGUUUCUGACGUCAGCAUGCUUAUAAUGUUACACAACCAAGGCACACGCCCGUGUGCUGGGCCGUGUCCUCUACACGGUCAUGUCUUUGCCCGUGUGUUUAUUGCCAUGCAUACUGACUUGAAAUUUUUACAUAUAGUGGACACACGGCCGGACCGCACGUCCAUGGGGCAGACCGUGUGUCACACACAGCCUAGACACACUUCCAUGUGUCUACCUGUGUUGACAGUAUAAGGAUAUUUACUAAGCCUCAUUGCCACCCUUACAUUUAUAGUUCCAUACAAAUACCAACCAAUAUCGAAACAAGUACAACUCCUAUACAUGAGAAUGCAUCUUUUAUAAAUUCAAAAUGAAUGUUAGCCAUCAUUCAAGGCUUAAUACAAAUUGAAGGAUUUCCAACCCAAGCUAACAUAUAUGGCCAAUCCUCAAUGACACAAAAUAAUAAUAUCUAAGUACUAUACAUGACAUAUUCAAAAAUAUAAAUCCAACUAUAUCGAAUGCUUCGGUUAAUAGUGUGAUUGAUAUCUCUGACUUCCGGUGAUUCUUUAGCUAGUUAGGUGACACUGAAAGGAAAUUGAAAGGAAAGGGAGUAAGCAUAAAGCUUAGUAAGUUGCAUAUAAAUAAGUAUACAACAACAAUUUAUCCAUAAUCAACAUGCUCAUAACACCAAAGUGGGCAUAAGUGUAACUUACUCAUUACCAUCCAUACAAGUCACAUAUUAUAUAUAUUGAGCUCAUAUCUCAUAUAUACCAAUUACAUACCUGUACCAUUCACAACACGGUUAUACUUUCCUCAUUAUCUUAAGAACACAACGUUCACCUUUGAACCAUUUGGAACACUACCGGAUAUUCAUUAAGCCUCAAACAUGGGUAAGGUGCCGAUGCCAUGUCCCAGACAUGGUCUUACACUGGCUCAUAUCUCAAGUAGAUGCCAUGUACCAAACCUGGUCUUACAAUGACUAUCAUCUCGUAGCUGAUGCAUGUCCCAGACAUGUCUCACACUGGCUUACGUUUUGAGGCUGAUGCAUGUCCCAGACAUGUCUUACACUAGUUCUCGUCUCAAUGCCGAUGCAUGUCCCAGACAUGUCUUACACUAGUUCUCGUCUCAAUGCCGAUGCAUGUCCCAGACAUGUCUUACGUUGGCUCUCAUAAUGUGGUCAAUGCAUGUUCCAGACAUGUCUUACACUAGCCAAAUAACAACCCAUAUGUCACGGCAUGAAUAUCCGAUUUAUUUUCCUAGGUUCAAAUAGGAACUCUACUAUCUCUAUUAUCAUCAUACCAUCUCAAUACCAUAAUUAAGCAAAUCAUGCUAUAUUAAUUCAAAUACAAUUCAACACAUACAUUAGUAAUUUAGUUGUAUUAUUUACAUACAACUUACCUCAGAUUACAAAACGUAUACGACUAGUCUGUUUAGUCGAUUUGCUUGGCUUUUCCCUAGUCUAGGUUUGGAUUUACCAAUUCUUGAUCUAAAAUAGCAAAAUGCACUAAUUUAAUCACUAAAUAAAAUUAAGCAAUUAAAAAUUCACAUUUUCAGUAAAAUGACCAUUUUUCCCCAAAACUUUAGCAAAAUGACCAUUUUACCCCUAUGCUCAAAAAUCUAUUUUUAUCGAGUUUCUUCCCAUCUUAAGCUUAGAUAAACUCUUUUUACUCUUAUAGCAACCCUAAAUUCUCUCUAUUUCACACAUUUAUCAUUUAUUUUACAACUUGUGCAAAAUAGUCCCUUUUGGUGUUUUCAUGGUAACACCUUUCACAAAAGUUGUCAAUUACACAACUAAGACUCAUAUUCUUCCAUAAAAUUUCAAAAAACACCCUAAAUUAUCUCAUUACAAAACCUUAUAUCUUCAACCAUUUUGCAAGAUAUACCCUUCAUUUGAAAGCUCAUGCUUUAAGGGUCUCAAAAAUGCAAAAAUCAUCAACAAAUGGUAUGGAAAUCACUUACUUGUGAGUGCUUCAAGUUGCUAAAAAUUUUAAGCUCUCAAACCCCCUUCAAUUGAUAAUUUUUGAUGGAGAAAAGAGACGAGUAAGGGAUGAUAUCAUCCUUCUUUUAUUUUAUUUCUAUUUUAGUCAAAAUUGGUCACCUAACCCAACAAAUUUUGAAAAUUUUGACCACAUAUGUCUCCUAUGGCCGGCCACUCUAUUUCUAGGGGUCUAAUUGCCCUUUAAAAUCCCUCAAUUUUUCUUCUCUAAUAAAAUCACACCUUUAGCUAUCAAAAUAGAACUUUUUCACUUUAUUCGAUUUAGUCCUUUUUUGCAAUUGGGCUCACAAACGUCCAAAUUAACUCACCAAAUUUUUUUCAUGUAUUAAUAUAAACAUGCUAUGACUCUAAAAUAAUAAUAAAAUGAUUUCUCUGACUUUGGAUUUGUGGUCUUGAGACCACUAUUUUGACUAGCCCCAAAAUUGGGCUGUUACAUACCAUACAUGCAAAUAGAGAAACCAAGUGUAUAGCAACUUACCGAAGGAGCAAACUAAGAAUAGAAGACAGUAGUUUUCGGUUUACCCCUAGAAACACCUACUCGAAUUAGGGUAUAAGAUGUAACAGUCGCACCUCCUAAUAGUAAUCGGCAGAGAAAAGAGUUGUUAGAUGGAAAACUAUUAUAGUAGAGAAAAAGGAGAAGAGAGAGAGCAUAACUGAAUAGUUGUAUUACCACCAAAAAUGACAGAGAGCACAGGAGAAUCGACACAGAGAGGGUGAAAGAAUGAGUAUUAAUCAAUCAAGAGGAAAUCGAUUGGGGGAAAAAGAAAAAUGAGGUAUUCAGUCAAAGUAACAGUAUGUGAAAGAGGGGAGAUCUGUUAAUCACAGAAGAAUUGAAGGAGGAGGAGGAGAGAAUAUGAUAUUCGGCUUUAACAAUGCAAGAGGAGAACUCGAUAAAAGCCAAAUGAAUAGAGAGAAGAGAGAAAGGGGUACUUAGCAAAUGAUAAAAGGAGAAGGUAACUGAUCAGAACCGAUUGAAAGAGGGAGUAAGCACAGAAAACAGAAGUAGAAAACAAAAGAUCGUAGGGAACCAAAGCAGAAAUAUCGAAAGAUGAAAUAGAGAGAAAACUCUCAAAACUGAAAACGUCAAAACUAGGAGGAAAAUACCGAAAUGACAUAUGGUAGACGAAUUCUCUUGAGAAAGAGUUCAAUUUCGGUACCACUACUUCCUUCCCUUGAUCCACUCAUCGAAAAUCUCCUCACAUCUCUCCACCAACUAGCUCGAACUCCAUAAAACCUCUUCUAUCCAAAAUUUCCUCCCCAAAACACUCCCCAAAUCUCCUUAACAAUCGAAAUACCUUAUCCACUCCCCAAAAACAUCCACUCUUUCCUCAACCACCAAUUUCCAAUUCCAAUCCAACUCUUCAGUAAUUUGGUUGAGCUAGGACACUCCCACGAUACUAGCAGUAAAAUAAAUCUCCCUCUUGCCCAUGUCAAGACUCGAACCUUAGACCUCAAGUUACAGUAACACGCCACUUAUCCUCUAGACCAGUAGGCCCUUUUUGUCGUGUUUUACCCAUAUUUACUUAAAAGCCUACUGCCUAAAGACAAUGCUUAUUCCUUAAAAGAAAAAAAAACAAAACUUUUUGCACCUGCCUAGGCUUGAACCCAAGACUUCUCAGACACUCCCAGAACACAUAACCACUGAAGCAGACCUAUAUUUGUGUCACUUUCUUACACAACUAAAUAUUUAUGAGCAGCUUCCUAACUGCUCCCAUACUCAAGACCUAAUACUUUUAGGCCCAAAAUUCGAGGCGUUUCAUAAAUAGUAUAUGAACCGUUAGGGAAUUUUUAGAUAUGUUUCUCGAGGAGUUACCAGGAUUACCCCUAGAUUGUAAGGUAGAUUUUGAUAAUUAAUUUUUGUCAAGAACCGCUCCAGUGUCCAUUGCUCCUUUUCACAUGGCACCAAAAGAUUGCGAGAAUUGAAAAUCCAACUUCAAGAGCUUUUGGAUCGUGGGUUUAUUAGAUCUUGUGUGUUUCCAUUGGGAGCUUCGGUUCUAUUUGUGAAAAAUAAGGAUAGGUACCUAAGGUUAUGUAUAGAUUACUGACAACUAAAUAAGCUUACCGUAAAAAAUAAAUAUCCCUUAGCUAGGAUAGACGACCUGUUCAGUCAAUUCUUAGGUGUCACUGUGUUUUCCAAAAUAGAUCUAAGGCCGGGGUAUUACAGACUAAAGGUUAAAGAGGUGGAUGUACCCAACCCUUCCUCGAUCAAUUCAUUUUAGCGCUCAUAGAUGAUAUCCUAGUCUAUUCCAAAACUGAACAUGAACAAAAUUAGCACAUUAUGAAGGUUUUACAAAUCUUCUGAGAGAAAAAAGUUAUAUGCUAAACUUAGUAAAUGUGAAUUCUAUCUUAAAGAGGUUAUGUUUCUGGGUCAUGUGUUGUCUGUAGUGAGUAUUCAAGUAGAUCCAAAAAAGAUAGAAGCGAUCCUUUGAUGGAAACAACCCAAGAAUGUUUCCAAAAUUUGUAGUUUUUUGGGUUGCCUAGGUAUUACUAUAGAUUUGUUGAAGGGUUGUCCUUAACAGCCUUAACCAAGUUGUUGAGAAAAGAUGUUCCUUUUAAGUGGUUAGAAGAGCAACGAUCUAAUUUCAAAAAGCUUAAGGCGAUCUUAACCCAAGCUCCUAUUUUAAUUCAGGCUGAAUCGAGCCUUGGUUGUGUGAUGAUGCAAGGCGGUAAGGUAGUGGCUUAUGCGUAAAAGAAUUUGAAGUAACAUAGGUGUAACUACUCGACUCAUGACUUAGAGUUGGUUGUAGUAGUUUUUUAACUUAAAAUAUAAAGGCAUUACUUGUAUGGGGAGAAGUGUUACAUCUACACUAAUCAUAAAAGCUUUAAAUACCUUCUCACCCAAAAAGAAUUGAACCUUAGGCAAUGGAGUUGGUUUGAGCUAUUAAAAGACUACGAUUGUGUGAUUGAUUACCACCCCGAGAAAACCAAUGUUGUAGUAGACACCCUAAGCCUAAAGUAGAUGACUAAUUUAAGGGAAAUGUUUACUAGGUUGAGUUUUGUAGAUGGUGGAGCCUUGUUAGCAAAAUUACAAGUAAAACCCAACUUAGUGAUGAGAUCAAAGCUAAACAACCCUUAGAUAUAACUUUGUUACCUCAAAUUAUGCUCAUGAAAGAAGGAAAGACCGAGGAUUUUGGGUUUAAUGAUGAUGAUAUCUUGUGUUUUCAAGAAAGACUUUAUGUCCCGAAUGGCGAUGAAUUAAGACGAACCAUACUUCAAGAAGCACAUGCUAGCCCUUAUGCGAUGCAUCCCGGAGGAAGCAAGAUGUAUUAGGAUGUGAAAGAGUUGUAUUGGUGGCCAUGAUUGAAAUGAGAUGUAACAAAAUUUGUGGCCAAAUGUCUAACUUGUCAGUAAGUAAAAUAUAAGCACCAAUUUUAUUUUGGGUUGUUACAACCUAUUAAAAUACCGUAGUGGAAGUUGGAGUAAAUAGUAAUGGACUUUGUUAGUGGGUUACCAUUAGCACCCGCACUUCUUACUUGCCCGUAAGGAUUAUUCAUUACAAAAGCCAGUUAAGUUAUACAUUUUAGAGAUAGUUAGGUUGCAUAGAGUGCCUAUAUCGAUUAUCUUAGAUCGAGAUCCUUGAUUUACAUUUUGAUUCUGGAAAAAGUUGCAAGAGUCAGUAGGAACUCACUUGGAUUUUAGCACUGCUAUCCAUCCGCAGUCUGAUGGGAAAUCUGAGUGGGUGAUUCAAAUAUUGGAAGAUAUAUUAAGAGGUUGUAUCAUUGUGGGAAGAACAUUUACCCUUAUCCAAAUUUUCCUACAACAAUAGCUUCCAAUCUAGCAUCCAAAUGGUACUUUAUGAGGCCUUGUAUGGUUGCAAAUGCCGAACUCUUUUGUGUUGAACUAAACUAGGUGAUAGAAAAGUUUUGGGUCCUGAGUUAGUGCAAAAGUCUGAGGGGAGAGUAAAUUGAUUAAAGAAAGACAAAAGGUGACUUUUUCUAGACAAAAGUAGUAUGCAAAUUUAAAUAGAAAGGACAUUAAGUAUAAUGUCGACGGUCAAGUCUUCCUAGAAGUGUCCCCAUGGAAAAAGGUAUUAAGGUUCGGUUGAAACGGUAAGCUAAGUCCAAGAUCAUAGAACCUACCGAAUCCUAAUUGCUUAUCAACUAGAAUUACCUCUUGAACUGGAUCAAAUCCAUGACAUUUUCACAUCUCCAUGUUGAGACGUUAUCAGUCAGACCCUUCUCAUGUCGUUCCAAUUGAAGAUAUAGAGGUAUGACCGAAUUUGUCCUUUAAAGAAGAACCUAUACAAGUUCUAGAACGGGAUGUAAAGUUUCUGAGAAGGAAGUGAAUCCCUCUAGUUAAAGUCAUGUGGCGGAACCAUGGAGUCGAGGAGGCCACAUGGAAAAUAGAAGACACGUUUCGAUAAUAGUAUCCUCAUUUAUUCAAACCAGGUAAAUUUCAAAGAUGAAAUUUCUUUAAGGAGGGGAGAGUUGUAACACACCAAAAAUCAUAAGGUUGGAAUUAAUAAAACCAUCAAGAAAGGAUUCUUAGUUUGGGUGGUAGAGAUCAUAGUAUAUUCUCUAGGGAGCUAAGGUUCAAGCUCUACUCUUUCCAUUUUCCUCUUUUAUUUUUCAGAAAAUAAGGAAAAUAUUCAAUCUAGUACAUAUAGUAAAUGUGGUAGAAAAUAACCAAGCUUAAGAAGUAGCCCAAGUGGUAAGGCUUCCAAUCCCUCCUUACGUUCAAGUUCGAAUCAUGCCAAAACCACUCCCCAAUUUCUUUUUUUCAAUUUCGACAAAAAUGGGCAUUUUACCAUUCAGCCCUUGUAAUUUUUAAAACUCUAAUUAUUUAGUCCAUUUUUAUAAUUAUAUGUGGAUUUCUACUUCCUUUCAACCUUAAUUAGAAUUUAUUUUUUCUCUUCUUUAAAUACAACUUUUUAUUUUAUUUCCUCCUUUCUUUUCAUAAAAAUCUUCAUCUUCUUUUGCUAGAAAUCUUAUUUUGAUCUCAAGCUUGAAACCGAGUCUGUUCAAUCAUUUUUCUAAUCAAUUUAGUGAAACAUCAUCAAUUUCGUCUCUAACAUACCAAGAUUGGUAAGAACAUUCCAAUUCUUGAUAAUUAGAUCUCGAAUAUCUAUAUAAUACUUGUUUUCAACAACAUCAAGAUCAAAAAAAUAUCUUUUACGAAUAUUCCAAAAUCUUUUGAUAAUUUUGAUAAAUCUUGAAUGUCGAUAUUUAUUAUUGUGUAUUUUUUGAACGAAAUUCCCAUUGUAGUGUCCCAAUCCAGAAUUGGAUGUGAGGGUCAUCGUGCAAAUCCCCAGAAGUCAGGUGUGUGUUAUUUUACUAGAAAAUCGAGGCAAAAACUGAACCUAGCCUAGACCACAUGAGAGUGUGGGCCACUCAUGUGGACUACACGGCCAUGCCACCCCAGAAACCUUAGGAUUUCGCUUCUCACAUGACAUGCCUCAUGGUUGUGUCUUCCCUAUAGGUUGAAUUAUUGAAAUGCCACACAACCACAAUCUCUCACAUGGUUGUGUACCUCUUCCAAAUGGCCCAAGGCUUCCCACAUGAUUCAGUCACAAGGCCUUGUGUCCCCUAUAACUUAGAAUUUACAAUUUUAACUCAGAAUUUUAUGCUUUGAUUAGAUUAGUCCCUGAAUAGGUUCCGAACUAGUUUUAGUGAAUUAAAUUAUGCAAAUAAGUCCCUGAUGAUAUAAGAUAUGCUAGAAUUCAUGAUUGAUCAAUUUAAUGUGAUAUUUAUUUAUAUUUAUGAAUAUUUACAUGAAAUAUUAAUAGUAUAUGUUACCUUUGUAUAAAUAUACUUGUGACAUGCCUAUAUUAUUAUUCACACUGAAUACAUGAAAAGUUUGAAUUGCUACUAAUUGGCCAUGAGUUAGAUUAUUUAAUAUUCUUUAAUGCAUUUCAUGGAUUGGGUUGAUAUGAACAGAGGAAGAUCAAGUAGUAUAUCUACAAGAAAAAUGGCAAGUGUAGAGAAUAGGGGAUCCAGAAAUUGCUCUUACCCUGUUUUACCAAAACGUAAAUAUCUCAUAAAAUAAAACUUUUUUUUACCUAUUUUGUUUCUUCCAAAUGAAAAUAGAUUCAUUAAGCUUUAAUUACAUCUUUUAUUCAUCAUCUAAUUUUAUUUCUACUAUUUUUAGUGAUUUUUCAAAUUCACGUCACUGCUACUGUGUGAUUCUGUUUUAUAGCCAAUUUCACCAUUUUAUGGAUUUCCAUAGAUUAGUUAGCACAUAAAGAAUACGUGUUAUCAAAUAUAAUCUCGAUUAGCGACUCCAAUAGCUAAUCAUUCUCAAACAUUUCUAUGCCAUCGAUGAGCUAUAUCAUAAGAUUAUAUACACAAAAGGAUUAUAAUGCUAUACAUGCCAUAUUCCCAAAAUAUGCAAGCCACCAUACCGAGAUGGUCCGUUGAUAGUGUGAGCGUGCCUCCGACCGUCCUAAUCUCCAAACUGGCUUGUCAAAACUACAAGGAGUGGAAGGGAAGGAGUAAGCAUAAAUGCUUAGUAAGUUCACAUGCAAAUAACAAAUAACUUAACAAAGCAAUUAUACCAACCAACAUUAGCAUAAUAUCACCAAAACAUAUAUCACAUUUCUAUUCAUCAUUCAUCAUCUUACUACAUUAUUAUUGUCGUAUCAAGUCUCAACCCGAGGGUUAAGUACAUACUUGUCCAAAGUUCCUAUAACAUCCUGUACCCGAGUCCGUCGCCGGAGUCGGACACGAGGGGUUUGCAGACUUAAAUCACUUCUUUGCACAAUCCAUUUUAAAAUUUUCCAGGCAAGCUGGCUAACUGCGUCACUGUCACCUUAAAAAUCAUAUCUUGAGUUUCACAACUCAAAAAUCAGUUUCGUGAUUUUUCCCUAAAACUAGACUCAUAUAUGCAUCUACAAUUUUUUUUCUAGAAUUUUUGGUCGGGUCAAUUAGUACAGUUUAUUAGUCAAAGUCUCCCCUGUUACAGGGAUCGACUACACUGACCUUUGCGCAUUAGGACUUGGAUAUCUCCCUGUACAGGGCUUCAAUACUGAUGCCGUUUAUUUCUAUAGAAACUAGACUCGAAAAGGAAUCUGUAAAUAUAUGGUAUGACUUAUAAUUAUCUCUGGUUAAUUUAUAAUGAAUUUCCAAAGUCGGAAUAGGGAAUCCAGAAACUGUUCUGGCCCUGUCUCACGAAAACUUAAAUAUCUCUUAACAUACUGUUCAUAUGGUCGUUUCGUUACUUUCCUAUGAAAAUAGAGUCAUCAAGGUUCGAUUACAUAAUUUAUUAACUAUUUAAUUCCAUUCCUACUAUUUUUAGUGAUUUUUCACAUUCACGUCACUGCUGCUAUCAGCAUCUAUUUUUAAGGUAAACUUUACCUAUUUCAUGAUCCUCCAUGGAUCAACUAGAGUUUGUCAUACAUAUACCAAAAGUGAUCAUGAAUGACCAUUCCCAUGGCUAACCGUUACCAACAUUUCCAUACCUCUCGACAAACAACAUACAAAACGAUUUUAAUGCUAUGAUCAAAGUAUGUUUAAGCCAUUUUCGCAUGGCUAUCCAAAUUUACACAAAACCGAAGGAUACAUGACCAACAACAAAAAGGGUAGUCCUAUACAUGCCAUUUUCAGAGUUCAACCAAAAGUGUACCAAAAGGGCUUUGAUAGUGUGGGUGACUUCGACUUCAAUAAUCCCGAGUCCGAUAGCUGACGAACCAAAAUCUAUAAAACAGAGAUUCAAAGAACGGAGUAAGCAUUUAAUGCUUAGUAAGUUUUAAGCAAAACAAAGUGUUCUCAAUCACUAUCAUUGGUCAUUCAUUUCAACUGUUCGAUGAAGUUAAUCUAGAGCUUCAUCUCGAUCUAUAAUAUCAUUAACGCAACACUUGGCUGCCACAUAUAUACUUUCGAAUAAUAAUGACCUAGAUGGUCAAAUAUUUCCAAAGCACAUUCUUCAUCGAUUUUCAACUUUCAAUAAUCCUUUCCACUUGUUCAUAAUCACAUCCAUACUUUUAAGUAUUUCAACAUGACAAGUACUAAAUUACCAUAGGAACAUAAAGAACCAAACAUAUUCCUUAUCACAUAUACGUAAGCUUACAAAUCAUAAUCCUUACCUUGUACUGGCACAUCUAGCUCAACCCAACCCAUACUCAGAUCAUAAGGCUUUUGGGCAGAAUAUGCACUAAUACAUAAGAAUAUUUCAUCGCAUACUUUAUUAUACAAACAUACCAUUACCAAUUAGAUCAUUCUCACAUUUGGAGUUAUAAUAUUAAUCACAUUUACCUACCUCUUUGAUACUGAUAAUUCACCUCGAAAUCACUCCACCGAUGAGUAAGUAAUACAUACCUGAACAUCUUGAAUACAUAAUACUUAUUUGAUGGUAACUUAAUGCAGAUACUCAAUAUCAAAGUCUUACUUGAAUCCUAGCAUUUAGCCGUCGGGUCUUUAAAGCUCGGAUAUAGUACGAGCACGAAGCCUACGGACAUUAAUCAGGAUAAUAUUCUCGCAUAAAGCCUGCGGGGUUUUAACCCGGAUAUAGUACUGACACAAUUGCCCUUCGGGACUUAUCACAUUUAUACACUUCCACAUCCAUCACAUUGGCCAUUCGGCCUUAUCACAUAUAUACACUUUCACAUUCAUCACAUUGGCCAUUCAGCCUUAUCUCAUAUAUACACUUUCACAUUCAUCACAUUGGCCAUUCGGCCUUAUCUCAUAUAUGCAUGUUCACAUUCAUCACAUUGGCCAUUCGGCCUUAUCACGCAUACACAUGUUCACAUUUAUUACAUUGGCCAUUCGACCUUAUCACGCAUAUAUAUACUUUCACAUUCAUCACAUUGGCCAUUCGGCCUUAUCUCAUAUAUGCAUGUUCACAUUCAUCACAUUGGCCAUUCGGCCUUAUCACACAUAUACAUGUUCACAUUCAUCACAUUGGCCAUUCGGCCUUAUCACACAUACACAUGUUCACAUUCAUCACAUUGGCCAUUCGGCCUUAUCACGCAUAUAUAUACUUUCACAUUCAUCACAUUGGCCACUCGGCCCUAUCACAUAUAUAUACUUGUACAUCAAUUUCAUCAUAACAAAAUUGACUAGGAAUACUAGUAAUUUGUGGCUUAUAGCUUCACUUUAAUACGGAUUUGGUACUUUGAUUACCAAUGUUUAAUCGAUAGCUUAUAAGCAACUCAAAUGGUUUUAUUAAGGUUUACAACAAAAUCCCAAACUCAGCACAAGCUGUUUUUUCUGAGCAACAGUCAUUAAAUUAUUCGUAAAUGGAGCUACGAAACUCCAAAUGGAGUGCCGUUAAUUUUACCUGGAAAUAGACUCAUACAUAUCUUAUCCAUCAAAUUUUCAGAAUUUUUGGUUUGGCCGAUCAAUACCAGAUUUUUCUUAAAAUUUCCCCUGUUUCACUAUUUGACUAAUCUGACCAGUCUUCACUACGAAUCAAAUUUCUCAUUGUACAGAAUUCAAAAUAUGUUCUAUUUGAUUUCAUUUGAAUCUAGACUCACUAAGGAGUCUAAGCAUAUAAAUUUUAUCUUGUGACCAUUUUUGUACAAAUUAUAGUGAUUUUCUAAAUACAGGACAGGAGAUUUCGGAGUCAUUCUGACACUGUCUCACACAACUUUAAAUAUCUCUUUAUAGGAAAUUUCUUUGCUUACACGGUCUCUUUUAUAAUAAACUAGACUAAUUAAUCUUUGAUUACAUAUUUUAUUCAGCCUAUAAUUCCAUACCAAAAAUUUAUAGUGAUUUUCUUAAAUCACGUUACGGCUGCUGUCCUAAGCAAAUUAUUGCAAUUUGCUCUUAAAUUUCCAAGUCCAAACACUUAUGAACUUACCAUUUGAGUUUAAGACAUAUCAUGGCCACAUCAUAUCUUAUUAAAUCAACUCAUUAUGUCCUAUUAUGAUUGAAUUUACUCAACGUUUAAUCACUUAAAACUUACCUCGGAAGUGGUCGACGACUAGAUAUCCACGGCUAUUCGUUUACUUUCUCUUUUCCCCUAUCCGACUUUGAUCCUCUUUGCUCUUAAGCUUAAGUAGAACAAUAGAUUUGCUUAAGUACUUAACUAAUAUUAUUCACUUAACAAUCACAUUUGGCAAUCACAUAUCAUUUAAUCUACAUCUAAAACAAUAGAUUUCAAUAUGUAUCAUAUUUAAUAAAACAUGCCAUGAUUCGAUUUCAUGCUUAUUUAAUUUAUAUCUAAUUCACAUUCUAAAUAAAAGUUUAUCAAGCUUCCAUCUUCAUUUAACUAUGUACCAUUUAGAACUAUCAAUACUUUACACCCUUUAACAAAUUAUAAUCAAUUGCCAAAUGCAUCUUUGACAAUUUAAACCACACAACUCAAAUUCUUACAAUUUAAGCUUAGAAAUUUCUAUUCAUGUAAAUUUUAGCAACAUGGAGUCCAUUAAACACUCCAAAAUUCCAUUUGAACAACAAUUGUUCAACCUUCUAGCAUAAUUUCAAUCUGGACAGCAAGCAUUAUUUAACAACCAUUGUUUUCUUUUAUUUCAAACAUGCAGCAGACCAAUUCCUCCACAUAUUACAGCACAUUCAAAUUAGCAUUUACAUGCUGGAACAAUUUGUUUUCAAGCUGGAGUUUCCAGCAAUCAUUUAUGCAUUUAAUUGUCACAUUGUUACGUCACUACUAACAACUGAAACUUAGUAAGAAUAACAUAAUAUUUUAGCUAUUAGACUCAAUUUAUCAACCCCUAAUCGGCAUGAAAAUAGAACCAUUAAUUUGUUCAAAUUUUGGACAGCAUAACGAAGGCACAAAAUUGGAUAGUAGUAUUUUUUACAACUAAUCAAAGAGCUUUUCUUUUCUACCACCCGCAUCCAUGCCUUCCAACCACAAUCCAUCAUCAUUUUUCUUUACAACAAAGUUAAAGAUAGAGGGGAGCUUAGAAAACUUACCAACAUAGGAUACAACUCUUAAACAAGCUAAAUCCUUAGUUUCCUUCAACAUGCAAACUGUCUCCAUUUUUCUUUUUGUUGCAGCCCUCUUCCUCUUCUUCGAUGGAUUACCGAGUUACUUGAAAUUUCAGCUACCUAACUAGCUAAAAUCGUAGUUUUUCCUCCUUCUAGCCAUCUUCUAAGCCAAAAAUUAAAGCAACCAAACUUUCUUCUUCCUCCCUCAAGUCACGGCAAUGGAGGAGCAACCUAGCUAAUUUUUUUGUUUCUCCCCUACUAACCACUAUUAUUUUAUUACCCAUGUUCUUUAUUUUAUUAUUUCUAACAUAAAACACUAACAUAAAAUGUUUAUAAUACAUUUCAUCCCAUAGCAUGGCCGGCCACUACUUGUCAUAGGUGGAAAUUUGACAUGCAAACCCAUUAUUUUCAUAACAUGCACUAAUAGAUCCUUAUAGAUUAACCCAUCACAUUUCAAAGUGUCACACAUAAGUCCUAUUACUAAAAUUCACUUUCAAUUAACAAAAUUCAAACAUGAAAUUUUCACACAUGCAUAUAUACAUAUAAUAAGCAUCAAGUAUGACGGUUAAUUAUUUUAAUGACUCGGUUUUGUGGUCCCGAAACCACUUUCCGACUAGGGUCACAUUAGGGGUGUCACAACUCUUCCCCGUUUUAGGGAUUUUCGUCCUCGAAAAUUUCUACCGAUGCAUAGUUUAGGAUAACGUCCUCUUAUUGAAUUAUAUCCAUAUAAACAUUAGCUCAUCGAUAGCAAUUGUAAUUCAUUAUUGAUUUCGCAUCGAUCUAUAAAAUCAUUUUCUUAUCUUAAAACAAAUACAUAAACAUUUCUACAAGUACGCACAUAUAUCUCAUUUUCUUGAUUUCAUAAGCAAUAAUCACUUAAUUUAAUUCACAAAUGCAUUUCAAACACAUAUUAAGCACAUAUUAACAUGUAUAAUUCAUAUCAUCAACCCACAUAUUUGUAACCCACAUUUUCAUUCAUGUAUAAGUUGUAACCUGACCGAAAGUACACAUAUACUCAAACAUCCCAAUAACUAUCCUUUAUAACUCCAUCAUAUCUCACUAUUCAACUUAACCUAUUUCCAACAGAAAAUCAACUUCCACAUACCUGAACAUUGAAUUCAUUUAGCACAUUUAAUCACUGUUAACGAUACCCGUUGAAUCAUUCGAAAUCAUUACGGAUACUCAUUAAGCACAUAUAGCUCUUACAAUGCCAUAUCCUAGAUAUGGUCUUACAUAUGCUCACAUAUCGAGCCGAUGCCAUGUCCCAGACAUGGUCUUACACACUAUCUCAAAUCAAUGCCUUCGUCCCAGACGAGGUCUUACAUGAAUUCCACUUCACACACUUAGUGCCCACUGACCGAUCUCGCACUCAUAGUGCUCGAUUAAAGGAAUUCGCACACACACAGUGCCUCUAAUCAUUCACACACAUAGUGCUCUUAUUCAUUCGUUACUACACAUUGAAAUGACUUAACCAAGUCUAUAAACAUCAUGUAUGUACACUUUUAAACAUAUCAUCUCAUUUAAAUUUGAAUUCGUAUAGUAAUGAAUACUUAAACUUUGCUCAAAUUACCGGCACGAAGCCUACUAGGCACGAAGGCCCGAAUACACGUCACCAGCAUGAUUGCUCUUCGGGACCUAGCCCGGAUAUAACACCAGCACGAAUGCUCUUCGGGGUUUAGCACAGAUAUAUCACUAGCACGAAUGCUCUUCGGAACUUAGCCCGGAUAUAUCACUAGCACGAAUGCUCUUCGGAACUUAGCCCGGAUACAUCACUAGCAUGAAUGCACUUCGGGACUUAGCCCGGAUACAUCCCUAGCACGAAUGCUCUUCGGAACUUAGCACGGAUACAUCACUAGCAUGAAUGCUCUUCGGGACUUAGCCCGGAUACAUCACUAGCACGAAUGCUCUUCGGGACUUAGCCCGGAUCAUCGUCGAGACCUUUAGCUCGGAUGAAAUCUCCACACAAAGCCAGCGAAUUUUAAUCCGGACAUAAUCUCUGUACAUAGCCAUCGGGUCUUUACCCGGACAUAAUCUCUUCAUAUAGUCAGCGGGUCUUUAAACUUGGAUUCACAUCACUGAGUCUCAUACAUAUUUAUUCACAUGUUAUCAUGUUUCACAUGGCACAAAUCACAUUUAUAAUUUAAUCAAUUCAUUCACAUGUAAACAUAUAACAUGAUUCUUGACUUUAAGUCGUAAAUAUCAUUCAAAUCUAAUACAUGUAUGCUUCUUUUACUAAACUUUUAGCUCAAUAAGCAAUCACACAAAAGCAUAUAUCCCCAAUCUCUUCCUUUGUUCAUUUCUCUAAUAACCUUAUUAUGAUAAGGACAAUGGGACAUCAUUCAUCUAUCAUACAUGUAUAUCAUGGCAUUUUAAGUUAAAUACCAAAUUCAAUUACUCAAAACUUACUUAUGUUAUACCCUUCUCAAUAUUGACACGUCAUAAGCAUGUCUCAGUCCUCUCAAUACCAUCUGCUAGAGCUCGAUCGGGAUCGAAAUUCAUUACAAUAAAUAAACACAUUUUCAAUUGUCAGAAAUCACCACACUAUCAAAUAAUCACAUAAUGGCAUGUAUAGCUAGACCCAAACGUAUUACGGUAGUCUUAGAAUCGACUAAACCGUAGCUCUAAUACCAAUAAAAUUGUAACACCCCGUACCCGAGUCCGUCGCGGGAGUCGGACACGAGGGGUUUGCAGACUUAAAUCACUUCUUUGCACAAUCCAUUUUAAAAUUUUCCAGGCAAGCUGGCUAACUGCGUCACUGUCACCUUAAAAAUCAUAUCUUGAGUUUCACAACUCGAAAAUCAGUUUCGUGAUUUUUCCCUGAAACUAGACUCAUAUAUGCAUCUAAAAAAUUUUUCUAGAAUUUUUGGUCGGGCCAAUUAGUACAGUUUAUUAGUCAAAGUCUCCCGUAUUACAGGGAUCGACUACACUGACCUUUGUGCAUUAGGACUUGGAUAUCUCCCUAUACAGGGCUUCAAUACUGAUGCCGUUUGUUUCUAUAGAAACUAGACUCGAAAAGGAAUCUGUACAUAUAUGGCAUGACUUAUAAUUAUCUCUGGUUAAUUUAUAAUGAAUUUCCAAAGUCGAAAUAGGGAAUCCAGAAACUGUUCUGGCCCUGUCUCACGAAAACUUAAAUAACUCUUAACAUACUGUUCAUAUGGUCGUUUCGUUACUUUCCUAUGAAAAUAGAGUCAUCAAGGUUCGAUUACAUAAUUUAUUCACUAUUUAAUUCCAUUCCUACUAUUUUUAGUGAUUUUUCACAUUCACGUCACUGCUGCUAUCAGCAUCUAUUUUUAAGGUAAACUUUACCUAUUUCAUGAUCCUCCAUGGAUCAACUAGAGUUUGUCAUACAUAUACCAAAAGUGAUCAUGAAUGACCAUUCCCAUGGCUAACCGUUACCAACAUUUCCAUACCUCUCGACAAACAACAUACAAAACGAUUUUAAUGCUAUGAUCAAAGUAUGUUUAAGCCAUUUUCGCAUGGCUAUCCAAAUUUACACAAAACCGAAGGAUACAUGACCAACAACAAAAAGGGUAGUCCUAUACAUGCCAUUUUCAGAGUUCAACCAAAAGUGUACCAAAAGGGCUUUGAUAGUGUGGGUGACUUCGACUUCAAUAAUCCCGAGUCUGAUAGCUGACGAACCAAAAUCUAUAAAACAGAGAUUCAAAGAACGGAGUAAGCAUUUAAUGCUUAGUAAGUUUUAAGCAAAACAAAGUGUUCUCAAUCACUAUCAUUGGUCAUUCAUUUCAACUGUUCGAUGAAGUUAAUCUAGAGCUUCAUCUCGAUCUAUAAUAUCAUUAAACGCAACACUUGGCUGCCACAUAUAUACUUUCGAAUAAUAAUGACCUAGAUGGUCAAAUAUUUCCAAAGCACAUUCUUCAUCGAUUUUCAACUUUCAAUAAUCCUUUCCACUUGUUCAUAAUCACAUCCAUACUUUUAAGUAUUUCAACAUGACAAGUACUAAAUUACCAUAGGCACAUAAAGAACCAAACAUAUUCCUUAUCACAUAUACGUAAGCUUACAAAUCAUAAUCCUUACCUUGUACUGGCACAUCUAGCUCAACCCAACCCAUACUCAGAUCAUAAGGCUUUUGGGCAGAAUAUGCACUAAUACAUAAGAAUAUUUCAUCGCAUACUUUAUUAUACAAACAUACCAUUACCAAUUAGAUCAUUCUCACAUUUGGAGUUAUAAUAUUAAUCACAUUUACCUACCUCUUUGAUACUGAUAAUUCACCUCGAAAUCACUCCACCGAUGAGUAAGUAAUACAUACCUGAACAUCUUGAAUACAUAAUACUUAUUUGAUGGUAACUUAAUGCAGAUACUCAAUAUCAAAGUCUUACUUGAAUCCUAGCAUUUAGCCGUCGGGUCUUUAAAGCUCGGAUAUAGUACGAGCACGAAGCCUACGGACAUUAAUCAGGAUAAUAUUCUCGCAUAAAGCCUGCGGGGUUUUAACCCGGAUAUAGUACUGACACAAUUGCCCUUCGGGACUUAUCACAUUUAUACACUUCCACAUCCAUCACAUUGGCCAUUCGGCCUUAUCACAUAUAUACACUUUCACAUUCAUCACAUUGGCCAUUCGGCCUUAUCUCAUAUAUACACUUUCACAUUCAUCACAUUGGCCAUUCGGCCUUAUCUCAUAUAUGCAUGUUCACAUUCAUCACAUUGACCAUUCGGCCUUAUCACACAUAUACAUGUUCACAUUCAUCACAUUGGCCAUUCGGCCUUAUCACGCAUACACAUGUUCACAUUCAUCACAUUGGCCAUUCGACCUUAUCACGCAUAUAUAUACUUUCACAUUCAUCACAUUGGCCAUUCGGCCUUAUCUCAUAUAUGCAUGUUCACAUUCAUCACAUUGGCCAUUCGGCCUUAUCACACAUAUACAUGUUCACAUUCAUCACAUUGGCCAUUCGGUCUUAUCACACAUACACAUGUUCACAUUCAUCACAUUGGCCAUUCGGCCUUAUCACGCAUAUAUAUACUUUCACAUUCAUCACAUUGGCCACUCGGCCCUAUCACAUAUAUAUACUUGUACAUCAAUUUCAUCAUAACAAAAUUGACUAGGUAUACUAGUCAUUUGUGGCUUAUAGCUUCACUUUAAUACGGAUUUGGUACUUUGAUUACCAAUGUUUAAUCGAUAGCUUAUAAGCAACUCAAAUGGUUUUAUUAAGGUUUACAACAAAAUCCCAAACUCAGCCCAAGCUGUUUUUUUCUGAGCAACAGUCAUUAAAUUAUUCGUAAAUGGAGCUACGAAACUCCAAAUGGAGUGCCGUUAAUUUUCCCUGGAAAUAGACUCAUACAUAUCUUAUCCAUCAAAUUUUCAGAAUUUUUGGUUUGGCCGAUCAAUACCAGAUUUUCUUAAAGUUUCCCCUGUUUCACUGUUUGACUAAUCUGACCAGUCUUCACUACGAAUCAAAUUUCUCAUUGUACAGAAUUCAAAAUAUGUUCUAUUUGAUUUCAUUUGAAACUAGACUCAUUAAGGAGUCUAACAUAUUAAUUUUAUCUUGUAACCAUUUUUGUACAAAUUAUAGUGAUUUUCUAAAUACAGGACAGGAGAUUUCGGAGUCAUUCUGACACUGUCUCACACAACUUUAAAUAUCUCUUUAUAGGAAAUUUCUUUGCUUACACGGUCUCUUUUAUAAUAAACUAGACUAAUUAAGCUUUGAUUACAUAUUUUAUUCAGCCUAUAAUUCGACACCAAAAAUUUAUAGUGAUUUUCUAAAAUCACGUUACGGCUGCUGUCCUAAGCAAAUUAUUGCAAUUUGCUCUUAAAUUUCCAAGUCCAAACACUUAUGAACUUACCAUUUGAGUUUAAGACAUAUCAUGGCCACAUCAUAUCUUAUUAAAUCAACUCAUUAUGUCCUAUUAUGAUUGAAUUUACUCAACAUUUAAUCACUUAAAACUUACCUCGGAAGUGGUCGACGACUAGAUAUCCACGGCUAUUCGUUUACUUUCUCUUUUCCCCUAUCCGACUUUGAUCCUCUUUGCUCUUAAGCUUAAGUAAAACAAUAGAUUUGCUUAAGUACUUAACUAAUAUUAUUCACUUAACAAUCACAUUUGGCAAUCACAUAUCAUUUAAUCUACAUCUAAAACAAUAGAUUUCAAUAUGUAUCAUAUUUAAUAAAACAUGCCAUGAUUCGAUUUCAUGCUUAUUUAAUUUAUAUCUAAUUCACAUUCUAAAUAAAAGUUUAUCAAGCUUCCAUCUUCAUUUAACUAUGUACCAUUUAGAACUAUCAAUACUUUACACCCUUUAACAAAUUAUAAUCAAUUGCCAAAUGCAUCUUUGACAAUUUAAACCACACAACUCAAAUUCUUACAAUUUAAGCUUAGAAAUUUCUAUUCAUGUAAAUUUUAGCAACAUGGAGUCCAUUAAACACUCCAAAAUUCCAUUUGAACAACAAUUGUUCAACCUUCUAGCAUAAUUUCAAUCUGGACAGCAAGCAUUAUUUAACAACCAUUGUUUUCUUUUAUUUCAAACAUGCAGCAGACCAAUUCCUCCACAUAUUACAGCACAUUCAAAUAAGCAUUUACAUGCUGGAACAAUUUGUUUUCAAGCUGGAGUUUCCAGCAAUCAUUUAUGCAUUUAAUUGUCACAUUGUUACGUCACUACUAACAACUGAAACUUAGUAAGAAUAACAUAAUAUUUUAGCUAUUAGACUCAAUUUAUCAACCCCUAAUCGGCAUGAAAAUAGAACCAUUAAUUUGUUCAAAUUUUGGACAGCAUAACGAAGGCACAAAAUUGGACAGUAGUAAUUUUUACAACUAAUCAAAGAGCUUUUCUUUUCUACCACCCACAUCCAUGCCUUCCAACCACAAUCCAUCAUCAUUUUUCUUUACAACAAAGUUAAAGAUAGAGGGGAGCUUAGAAAACUUACCAACUUUGGAUACAACUCUUAAACAAGCUAAAUCCUUAGUUUCCUUCAACAUGCAAACUGUCUCCAUUUUUCUUUUUGUUGCAGCCCUCUUCCUCUUCUUCGAUGGAUUACCGAGUUACUUUAAAUUUCAGCUACCUAACUAGCUAAAAUCAUAUUUUUUCCUCCUUCUAGCCAUCUUCUAAGCCAAAAAUUAAAGCAACCAAACUUUCUUCUUCCUCCCUCAAGUCACGGCAAUGGAGGAGCAACCUAGCUAAUUUUUUUGUUUCUCCCCUACUAACCACUAUUAUUUUAUUACCCAUGUUCUUUAUUUUAUUAUUUCUAACAUAAAACACUAACAUAAAAUGUUUAUAAUACAUUUCAUCCCAUAGCAUGGCCGGUCACUACUUGUCAUAGGUGGAAAUUUGACAUGCAAACCCAUUAUUUUCAUAACAUGUACUAAUAGAUCCUUAUAGAUUAACCCAUCACAUUUCAAAGUGUCACACAUAAGUCCUAUUACUAAAAUUCACUUUCAAUUAACAAAAUUCAAACAUGAAAUUUUCACACAUGCAUAUAUACAUAUAAUAAGCAUCAAGUAUGACGGUUAAUUAUUUUUAUGACUCGGUUUUGUGGUCCCGAAACCACUUUCCGACUAGGGUCACAUUAGGGGUGUCACAGUGCCCAUUCCACAACACUUACCAAUACGUCACUUGCAUCUUGAGUAUUCUUCCAUUUCACUAGAAUUUUACCCAUUGAACACAUCGGAAUAUAACUCGGAUACAUGGAAAGUUUGCACAUAAGUGCCACAUAUGUAGCCAAGCUACCAUGUAACCCACCCAUAAGUGAACUUGGACUCAACUCAACAAGCUUGGGCGUUCGCAUCCAUAAGUGAACUCGGACUCAACUCAACGAGCUCGGAUGCCUAGCUACAUCUCACGAACUCGGACUCAACUCAAUGAGUUCAGACGUUCGCAUCCAUAAGUAAACUCGGAUUCAACUCAACAAGCUCAGAUGCCUAGUUACAUCUCACGAACUCGGACUCAACUCAACGAGUUCGGACGUUUGCAUCCAUAAGUGAACUCGGACUCAACUCAACGAGUUCGGAUGCCCAAAAUUCGAAUCUAUUCCUAAGGUUCAACGGGAUUCUUUUCAAUUACACAUUUCGAUCGUCUUCUUCGGAAUAUAGAAAUCGAUAUUUGCUAACAUCUCAUACCUAUUAAAUUGUUCACAUAAUUUGCAUAUCACCAAAUAAUAAUUCACAAAACAUCAUAUUUCAUGAUAAUAAGUAUCUUGUCAUAUAAAUAACAUUAAAUCACUUAAAAUAAAAAAUUAUGUUACCUUAUUUACACAUGAACUUACCUCGUAUGCGAAAAUGGUCAUUUUUACCAUUUUGUCCACAACUUGUUAUUUUGCCGAUUUUAGCCCGAAUUUCAAUUUUCCUUGCUAAUCAAGGCUUAAAAGUGUUGAAACCCUAGCUAUGGUGGAGAGAAAAAUUCAACAACAACUUAUGGAGAAGAUGAUCAUUUUGUUGUUAUUUUUCCCAUUUUAUUUCAUUUAAUAUCCAAAUGACCAAAAUGCCCUUCCUUACUAAACUUUCAAAAAUUCCAUCCACAUCCAAUUCCAUAAACUUAGAAAUUGGUCAUAUUGCUAUUUAAGACCGCCUAAUUAAUAUUUCAAAGCAAUUUCAUACUAGAAACUUCUAGAAUGCAAGUUUUGCAACUUAUUCAAUUUAGUCCCUAACUUCAAAUUAAGCACUUUAUGCAUAGAAUUUCUUCACGAAAUUUUCACACAAUCAUGCAAUCAUAUCAUAGACCUCAAAAUAAUUAUAAAAUAAUUAUUUCUAUCUCAGAUUUGUGGUCCCAAAACCACUAUUUCAAUUAGGCCCUUAUUCGGGAUAUCACAACUCUCCCCCCUUUAGGGAUUUUCACCCCCGAAAAUCUUACCGGAAAAGUGGUAUUCACUUAGAUUCCUCAAUUUCAUAUUCAGUGUUGAAGAACUUUCACUCAGGCAGUGCCUCCAAUAUAUCUCUUUAAUUUCUCAUAUAUUCUGAAAGCUUACGGACUCAUCUCUCAAUUGUUCUUAAAUUUUCAACCCUUCUCAGUUUCCCUUGUCAUCUUAACAUAAAACACAGAUCUCAAUUUGGUUAAUGGAGACUAGAAUUCCAAGAAAUCCAAUAAUAAAAGGGACCUGCACUCUUCCGAAUAAUCAUACAGAUUUUCAUCAUCGAUAAAUCACAAUCCAAUAACAUCUGAAUCAAAUUACAGUACAUGUGAUUACUCUCUGAAUGAAUAGGCAAAUUUUCACUGUGAGCUUCAUACAAUUCUUUCUGUAUAAGCCUCGGAAUAAUAAUACCAUGAAUCAGAUCCAAUUUGAAAUUCAACAUCAAAAGUCGAUCCUCACUGUACUCUUUUAGUUUACUACUCACUAUCACAUUUUCCUCUUUCCGCUACGGAAAUAAUUUUGAUAUAGCCUCUAAAGUAAUCCUUUCUCAUUUUCAUCCUAAUAUCAAUACUGGCAAAGAUAACUCUGGUAGAUCCUGAUGCUCGGCUUUAACCCCAUUAACAACUCAGAUAUUUCUGUGGCAUCGAAUGCUCUAAACUAUUACAUUACCUUAUUUUCUUGAAUCACAUUACAAUUCAUACAGAUUGAACACUCGAGUUGAUCUUAAUCACUAGUGAAUGACAUUUCAAGUAAUCUUUUCUUCUAGUUACAAAAAAAUUCAUCAUGCCAUCCUUUACUAUUCAUUCCUUAUGUUAAUCAAAACCAUCUCAAUUGCAUUCGCUCAAGUAACCAAAAUAUCUCAAUUGAAGACAUUAACUAUAAUUGACUUACUUGAGAGAAGUAAUCCACCAUACCGAUUGAAACUCGCACUUUUAUCACUUAUGCCUUUGCUGUUGUCAAACCUUACACGUAAAUUAGAAAAAUCCCAAUACUGAAAUCACCACAUUACCCAAAUCAAAUCAGAAGUAUAGUCAUACUUGACAUGAUUAUCACGAGCUAAAGAACGCACUUCGAACAUGAGUCAUAAUUGACAAAUUACGGAAUAAAGAUAACAAGAAAACUGAAUAAAGAAAUCCAAGAUAGAGUAACCCAGAAUAAAGAAAUCCAAGAUACGAUACUGUGCUGGAAAAUCAAAAACCUAACUCAUAGGAAAAUAUAGAAGAUCUCGAAAAUUCCUCAGAGAAAAGAAGUCCAGAAGAAAACAUCAUUUAAUCCCACUGGAAUCAAAUAUAACAAGAACAAUGUAUCUUCCCAUACAUAUAUAUCAAAUGGAGCAUUAAGUAGAAGAACAGUAUCAUAAUAUCAUACAUAUCCUCUCAUCAAUUCUUAUCAGAUGAAAUGUAAUAAAAUGCCCGAGGAAAUACAGUAAUACAAAUUAUAAACCAGUCGGACUACCAAUGCAUCCAUCUAACACUAGUAUUAGAAAACAUUCCCAUAUAACAAGAAUUUCUUCAAAAGAUCAACAACCAUAGAAUUUUUUUUUCUAAGAACGGAUAAAUACAUAGAACAUCUCAGAAGAAACUGUUAAAAUCUGUCCAGCCGUAACUGUCACACUCAAAUAUUACACAUUUCAGAUAUCAUUUCCUCAACUAUUUCUGCCAUCACAAAUUUCAUAUUACUUUUCACUAAAGAAGACUAGUUUUGAAUAAAUUUUGAUUUGCACUUUUCUCGACCUUGUACCUUAGUAAUUCGAUUUAUCAAAAUAAAUUUCUUCUCUAACUGGAACAGUGCAUAUGUCCAAUAAUCCUUAUGCCAAUCUGAUACUUUUCUAGCUUUGACUUUACUUACCAACUCAUUCUUCAAUCUCUAAUCAUAUUUAUAAUUAUUCUAGCACUAAACUCUUUAGUUUCUCAACCGGAAACUUAUUCAGUACAAAUCUCAUGAAAUUCCAUUAUAAGCUCCACUUCGGUAAGGGGGAGGGGUUGUAGGGCCUCUGACUCGACUUUCUCAUACAUAUACAUAUGACACAAUUUCCAUCAUCAUAACAACAUCAUCAAAAUCAUAUCAUUCAUUCAGGAAAUGCAUCAUUCAUGUUGGUUUACACAAAUUUUCUAGUUAUCCCAUUUAAACAAGUAUACUUAUGCAUGCAUCCUAGGUUUUCUGGAUAGCUUGACUUAUCCAUUCAUCUACUCAAAAAAAUCAUACUCAUGACAUCAUAUAAGGGUUAAACAAACAUAGAUAUUUUCAUCACAAUUGCAACUUUCAUUUUGUGCAUCAUCAUAUACAUAUCAUUACAAUCAUGUAAUUCAGUCCAAACAAUUUAACAUAGAUAAAUUCAUUUCAUUAUAAUCAUUUAGCUCAUAAAAAAUAUCAUUGACAUUCAUCAACAUUCAACGUUCAAUCAAGGCAAUGGAAUUUUCAUUCAUAUCAUGAUAUUAGGAACCUUUACUCAUACCUCUACGAAUUUCUUGUUAUCUCGUUCAUCUUAUCAAGUAAGCUACGUGCACUACAUCAUAUGAGCAUUAAGCAAGUAUGGAUAUUUAUCACAACAUGAACUUUCAUGUCACGUGUUAUCACAUAUAUAUAUAUCAUAAAUGUUAUAAUGUCCUCUAUCUCUAACUCUACGAUACAGGUUUUGUGGAACAAAGAUCCUUUCUCUAAGUUUAUACCAGCUAGAGGAAUUCAGCAAGGGUGCCCGCUCUUUCAUUAUCUUUUCAUUUUAUGCAUGGGAUGGCUUGGACACUCAAUACACUCAACUAUUUUUUAUGGAAAAUGGAGCCUCAUUCACUUUUCUCGAUUUGGUCCACCUAUCUCUCACUUAUUCUUUGCAGAUGAUUUAGUUAUAUUCAGCAAAGCAGAUUUGAAGCAUAAUAAGAUCCUUAAGGAUAUUUUGGAAACUUUUUGCUAGUUUCCUAGGCACAAAAUUAAUGCUAGGAAAACUAAUAUUUUUUUCUAAAGAAGUGGAUGAGACGGUGGCUAACUUGAUUAGCUCUUUGUUCAGGUCCCAAAGAGUUCAGAAUCUCAGUCAUUAUCUUGGAGUCCCCCCUUUUUCAUCAAAGGGUGACCAACAACACUAUGCAUUUUGUUGUCAAUAAAGUUAGAGGAAAGCUUCAAAAUUAGGAUGCCAAACAGUUACACAUUGUUGGUCAUGUUACUUAGGCCCACCCGGUUUUCCUGUCCAUUCUUAGUUAUUUUAUGUAGUCCAUGAUGACUCCUAAAAAAUUUUGCAAUGAAAUUGGAAGCCUAGUGAAACAAUUCAUUUGGGAUUCUUCUGAGAAUAAAAAAAAGAUGUCUUUGGUUGGGUGAGAUUCUAUUUGUCAACCAAAAUGUUGUGGUAGUCUUGGUUUACGGAAAUUACUUGAUCAGAAUAUCUCAUUUUUAUUGAAGCUGAGGUAUAAUAUCGUAUUGGGCAGAGAGGAUUUUGCGUUUGCGUUAUCAGGGUGAAAUACCAUAUAUUUGAUGCUUUUCUAAUUCUAUCACAUGCGUUAAAAGUUCUUUUUGUUGGAAUUCGCUCUCUAAAAUUUGGUCGUUACUUUGAUAGAAUUUAUUCUGGUUUGUUGAGAGUGGGUAUCAAAUUCGCUGUUGGAAAGGUGUUUGGAUUCCUAGUGUAGGGAAACUGAUUAAGUAUAUUCAUGCUAACAUCACUAUUAACCCCUAAUGCUACCUUAAUGAGAUAGUCACAGAGGAUGGGUUGUGGAACUUUGAUUUUUCAUACUUUGGCUUCCAGAGGAGGCGAUCCAGUUAAUUAUGGGUAUUCCCCCUCCUCUUUUCUCUUAGGGGCCUGAUAAAAUCACUUGGUGCCAUACUUCUUUCAGAAAUUUUUCUAUUAAAAGUGCUUAUAAGUUUCUUAAGGGUGAUAUUUGGAACUUGAAGGAUGAAAGAUGGAAAAGUGCCUGGAAGACUCCAAGAUCGCAAAGGGUUCAUUUUUUUAUUUGGUUGUUUCUUAAGCAGUGCCUUCUUAGUAAUGCUGAAAGGGUUAAAAAGGGCUUAGCCAUUGAUCCUUCAUGUUCUAUAUAUGGCUUUCAUUCGAAAGACAUUCUUCACAUUCUUAGAGAUUGUAAUGCAAGUAAGGAUGUUUGGAGCCAGGUCAUAACAAGUUAUCAUUUCACGAAUUUUUUCUCGCUUAACUUAUAAGAAUGGAUCCUUUCUAACGUGUAGAAUUCUUCUGUGAUCCAAUAGGAAGGUACUAGCUGGGCUUGCCACUUUAGGGUUCUGAUUUGGCAUCUUUGGAAGAAUAGUAAUCUUUACAUUUUUCAAGGCCAUUCUUGGAGUUCGAGAGAGAUUGUCAAAGGUUUAUACUGUUGGGUUAGCAAAUGCUUUUUGCCUUUUAGAGAUGCUCCGAGUGGUGGUUUUGGUUUUCCUUGGAGGAGGAAGUUUCUAGUUCUAAGAUCUUCCUUAAUAUGGAUGGAGCAGUUCUUUUGGAUUCCGGAGAUGCAGUUGCUAAGAAGUUGCAAGUGAUGCAGUUGCUGGAUAAGUUGUAAGAGAUGUGAAUGGAGAGUGGCUUUUUGGUUUUAAUCAGCACCUUGAAAAGUGCUCAAUUUUCGAUGUUGAACUUUGGAGCAUUUUUGAAGGCUUAAAACUUGUUCAGCGAAGAGAUCACGACAUUGUAAUAAUACACUCAGACAAUCUGGAGGUUGUUCGAGCCAUUCAAGGAAGUGUUUCAUCUUCAUCAAACUCAGCCUUGAUUAGGUGAAUUUAGAGUAUUCUAUCUCAAGAGAAAUUGUCGUUCUUGCAUUACAUCCCUAAGGGACAGAACCAAGCUGUUGAUUGCAUGGCCAAAGUAGCUUUAUCCUCUAGAGAUGACUUAUAUUUUUUUGAGUUUCCCCCUAUUAUGGUUCUGAAUUUCUUAGAUUUAGACAAAUCUAGAGAUUUUUUCAGACCAAUCAGAUGUAAUUAGUUAAGUUACUAUUGUUUUCUUCACAAAAAAAAAACAAAAAAUUUAUUUAAGUUAAAUUAAAUGGAUAAAUUAUUUUAUCUAAUUAAAUGUUUAUUUUAAAUAUAAAUCCUUUAACUUCAUGGAUAAUCACUAUAAAUAAUAAUUUUAUAUGUGAACAAAAAAUUGUUUAAAAAAUAUUAUAUUCAUUUGUAUUAUAUUUAAUUGACGAUAAAAAAUAAAAAAUAUAUUAAAUGUAACGAGUCUCAAUUAUUAUAAUAAUAUUAAAAUAUUAAACACAUUAUGUAUUAUUUGUACACAUAAUAAAAAUAUUAUUCUAAUUAAUAUAAUGUUUUGUUUUGUUUUGUUUACAUUAAGGUGUAUAAAAUAAUUAAUAUAUUAUAUCCCUCAUUUAUAUAUAUACACAAUCAACCCAACUAAAAAAAUGAGUGACGUUAUUAUAAUUUGUAAGUUUUCGUUUUGGUAACUCAACGUCAAAAAGUUAUAAAAUAGUCAUUGAGCUAUCUGAAAGUUUUGAGUUAAGUCAUUGGGCUAUUGAAAUUGCUAUUGCAUGACCUUAUUUGUUUGCACUACCUACAUCAAAUUUAAAGCUUCAUUCCUCUUCUCUUCUAUAGUUCAAUUUUUUUCAUGAAACAUCUUUGAAUGUCACAAAUCUGCAAAUCAAAAUCUAAACAACUUUCUUCCUUGAUCUCAAAAACUAACUGCCAGAUUGACUUGUAUCUAGGUAUGUUCUACUUGUCGAUGGGUGUUGAUCCAUCGUACAAAUUGUCGUAUCGUCGCUUAGAGCUCAAUAGUUGGACUUUUUUUUUCAAAAAAAAACCUUAUUAGCCCAGUGACUUAAAUAAAAACUUUCAAAUAGCUUAAUACCAUUUUGUAUUUGAAGUUGAAAGACCAAAACAUAAACUUACUAAUAAUUUAGUGACAUUGGUUGUAGUUUACCGUGAUUCAUCGAAACGUAUGACCAUAAUCAAAGAAAUUUAAAUGCGAAAAUCCUUGAAAUUAAAAGACUUAAAAUAUAGCUAAAACAGAAGGGAUAAAUAUCAAAUUUAUAAAUGAAUUUUUGUUCAAUGUGCAAUUUGAUACCUUAACUUUGAUUUUUUGCGGUUAUAAACAUGAAACUUAAAUUGUGCUUCAUAUGUAUAUAUAAAACUUUGAUUUUGAUUCAAUUAUACAUAUUAAAAGAAAUGAAUACAUACAUUUAUUUUUAUAUUUGAUUAAUAUAAUUGUUUAUAUAUGCAAUAUAUUAACGUAUAAUUAUGUUAAUUCAAUAAUGUUGUUAGUGAUUUUUGAAAAUUGAAUCAAAUCAAAAUUUCAUGUAUCAAAUUGCACCAAAUCAAAGUUCAUGUAUAGCUUUGAUAUUUAUCCAAAAAAUAUAUUAAUAAUAAAAAUUUAUAGCUAAUUACAAAAUUAUAAUCCUAAAAUUUUAAUAAAUCCAUUGAAAACAGAGGAAGCUUGUAACUAUUUUUUGGCUUAAUACAUAAUUUAGUACUAAGUUUGACAUUUUUUUCCCAAUGUGAGGGGUGUGUGUGUAUGUGUUUUUUUUUCAAUGUGAUAUAUGUAUUUAACAAAGGUUUUGCAAUUGAUGAAUAUAGGUGUAUUGUGAUGUUUGAUGAUAGAAAAUGUAUGUUUGUUGUUAGAUAAACAACAUUUGUAAAGUGCUUUUUAGUAAAAUUAUCAAUUAGGUAUUAAAUUGAGAAAUGUGGAAAUUUUAUGGUUAAAUUAUGAAAUAAAUGAAAAAUAUGGGCUGCUAUGGGUCUAUAUGAAAUUCGGCUAGCAUGGGUAGGGAUCUAAUUGCAUGAAUUUGUAUUUUUAUAAGAUAAAGACUAAAUUGUAAAAAUUUAGAAAUAUAAGGGGGAAAAGUGUAAAGUUUCCAUAAUAUGCAUUUUGGGAUAAAUUGAAUAGAAUGAUAAUUAAAUAAGCUAAAUUUGAUUACAUAUAGAUCAAGAAAAGCAAAGUAUGGAUCUAGAUCGGGGGAAAAACAAAGUAUUGGAUUAAUCGAUUCAUUCCAUCAUUUUUGUGAUCGAGGUAAGUUCGUAUGUUAAUAAGAUUUAAUAUAAUUGUGUUUUAAAUGCUUUAUUAUUGAAUUAUUUGUGAAUACGACCUUACGAAUAUGUUCAUUGACGACGAUUCGACAAAUGUGAAAUCCCGGUUGAACCUUAAGAAUAGAUUAAGAUACGAAUGACAUGUCAUUAGGAGUCAUGUCAUUAGGAGUUAUGUGAUUUGGGUGCUGUACGUCCUACAGGUGGCUGAGUUAUCCGGCAUGUGUUGCGGAUUCUCGUCAGCUUGUGUGAGCAGACCCAUUGAUAGCUCGAGAGUGAGCAUUAUAUGUGAUAUGAGAUUGAGAUAGCUUCGGCUAUGUAUUGGCACUUAGGGUGCGAGAUUCCCGAGUAUUCGAUAGUAUUCCACAUGGUUCAACAGGUAUAUCAAGUAUAUGGAUGAGUAUGAGAUUGAUACGAGUUGUAUAGGUAUGUACGUGAACUAUACAAUCAUCAAAUUGAAGAAGUUGAUGGAAAUUGUGUUUAAUCUUUGGAUUGAAUAUAUGUGUUAAAUUAUGCUUCAAAUUUGAAUUUCAUUAUAUGAUGUUUAUGUUAUUGAAUUGUUGUUUGGUAAGUUUUAUUUACUUAGCAUACGAGCUUACUAAUAUUUAUAGCUUACUUUAUUUACUUUUUCGUGUUUUAUAGUGAAUACCGAAGCUAGUUCAGAUUGGGAGUCGUCUAAGAUUGCAUCACACUAUCGAGCUUCUAUUUUGGUACUUUUGAGCUUAUGUAUUUGGUUAUAUGGCAUGUAUAGGAGUGAUGGUCAUUUUGGUAUAUGAUAGUAAUGGAUUUUAGCCAUUUGAGUUGGCUUGUAAAUGAUAAGUGUUUGGUUUUGUGUAUAGCCAUGAGAGUUGCCUUAGUUUGGUAUAUUUGGUGAUGUAAAUGUAUGUUCAAAUAGCCUUUUGUUAUAUUAUGUAAUAUUUCCAUUUAUAUGCUUGUUGUGAAUUGGUAUUUGGAGCACCAUAUGGUUGAAAUUUGAAGAUUUGGUAUGCAUGUGAUUAGAGGUAAGAAAGUACAUAUAUGAAGUUAACUAGUUAAGUGAAUUGAGAAUGUGAAUUUGGUAUGAAAUUGAAUAGCAUAUUGUGGUAUAUGUGUGCCUUGUAUUUGUUGGCAUUGAAACGGCCUGAAUAUGCUUAUUUGAGAUUGAUUUGAAUGACCAUUGAUGUUAUGCUAUAGGCCAAUUGAUGUUUUCAGGGGAUGCAAUUUGGGUGAGAAAGAUGGCUUGGUAAAUAGCCUAUUUUUGUCCACACAGGCAGAGACAUGGGUGUGUGUCUCAGCCGUGUGUGACACACGGUCAGGUGACACAACAGUGUGUCUCCUGGUGUUUAAUUAGAAAUCAAGUCAGUAUGCUUCACAUAGCCGAACACACGGGCGUGUGUCUUGGCCUUGUGGCAUAAGUCUGCAUACCCUUCAGGUUUGGCACGGUCUAGCACAUGGCCUAGCACACAGGCAUGUGAGGCCAUUUCGAAGGGCACACGGGCUGGUCACACAAGCGUGUGGUUGGUCGUGUGACCCAAGUCAGAGAGUUACACGGGGUCAGACAUAGGCUGGGACACGGCCAUGUGAUCCCAUUUCGAAUGUCCAUACGGUCUAUGACACGAGCGUCUCUUUGGCCGUGUGAGACACACAGGCGUGUGUCCCCUGUAUUUUGUAAGAAUUUCUAAGUUUUCUAAAAAUUUCUUGAGAUAUCAGUUUAGUCCCAAACCACUCUUAAAGCAUGUUUUGGGCCUCAUAGGCUCGUAUUAGGGACCUGAUGAAUGAUUGUGAAUGACUUGUAUUUGAAUUUCAUAAUUCAUUUGAGAAAUGUAUGUUUGAUUGUGUUAUAAGUCUGGUAAUGCUCUGUAACCCUAUUUCGAUGACGGAUACAGGUUAGGGCUGUUACAUAACAACCUUGGGAAGUCAUCAAGGUGGGAAUUAACCAAAAAUUGGUAUUGCCCAUUCGUGAACACCUUUGUCCCAAGCCAAUCUGGACUAUGAGGUUGGAAGAUAGGUAGUCAUUACUGACUCAUUAUGUUAGAAGAAGAUUUGAAGAUUCUGCUAAGGUAGUGACUAGUUGGUUGAUGAGUAACCCGAGACGACAGUUGAUUGGGAUUGCUAAAGUGAGCUAAUUAGCAAUCUUCAGAUUCAAUUCACUUUAUUCUUUAUAUCUAUUGAAAUUCAAUUCUUUUAUGUUAUUUUAUUUUAUUUAGAAAACCUUAAAAUUAUCUCUCAUUUUACUUUCAUACUAUAACUGAUUUAAAAGUAUUAUUUAGAUCUUUAAGUGUUUAGGUUAAGAUCGAUUUAGAUCCUUGGAGUACUCGCCUACUUCGUUGUAAAAUCUAUAUUACAACUUGACCCGUAUACUUGUAAAUACUGCCUCGUAAUUCUUUAUCUUAUUUCAGUAUUACACUCUGGACAUUUGUACAUCCAGAGAUGGUCAGUCAACCUCUAUGAUGAAACUGGUGUAGCCAUCAUGUUUUUUUUUUUGUUACUUUUUCCAAUCUUUUAUUUGUUUGGCUUGUAGCUCAAUGUACUAUUGGAACAAGGUGUCCUCGAUAACACUUCGGGAAGGUUUCAACUACUGCUUAGUGGAUGUCAUAGGUACACCCGCCUUUUUGCGUAAGGUCCUCACUAGAUGGGGGAAGAAAACUCCCACCUUUUGGGUACUAAUGCAUCUCUUCAUUUUCUGUGGAUCCAUUUGCUGAUACACACCUGCUCUUUCUGCAAGAAUGCAUACAGUAAAACUGCUCAAAAGGUAUUAACAUUAGAAACAUUUAAAAUGGGUACUAUUCGCGUGCCCACAAAUUGAAACUACAGUUUACCUUUUAGAAACAUAAUAGCUUGAUGAAAGGAUAGAGGAAUAUUGGUACCUGAGCGAUAUUUCCAUUUGCCCCUUCCUUCAGUUAAAAAUUUUAUAAUGCUAUCCAUACCUAUGUCCCAUAAAUAUUCUAAAUCUGUUUCGUCGAUAAAUUUUUUUUCAUAGUAUGAAGCAUUAUAAAAGUCACAAACAAUUUGAAGGGUUAUUGGUACCUCUUUCCCUUGCACUGGUACUAUAUCCCGCAUAUGACCUUCAAUUUUUUUAGACUCUUGGUCCCGUAAAGAUGUGUAAAAUUCUUCAAUGGUCAGGAUGACAACAUUAUCUUUUGGGAUUGUCCAAAAAUGCUCCCAUUUAUGAUAUAUGACUAAAGGUCAUAUUUCCUUACAAAGAACCAUAGAUGGAUCAAAUCCCUAUUCUUGAAUGAAUGUCUUUCCUUGAAGUUCAUUGAAAUAUUUUCAAACAUUUGGAUUUGGAAAACUAGAGGGACUUUGACUCAUAGAUGUUUUCGGCUCAUUAGUUCGCCUAAUCUUCCUAUGUGGCAUGAUUAAACUAAGAAUUCAAAUAAAAUGUUUAAACAAAAUUCAAUAGAAUAGUAAUAAUUUCAAUUAGGAACCCUUAACCUUGAAAAAUUCCUUGAACUCUUGUGCGUGUUGGUUUAGCUAUUUGUUGUACGUGUUGGUUUACCAUUCCCUUGAGUGCUCCCCUCCUUUGCCACAUCGGAGAAGUUUAAACGAUGAAGUAUUUCACACAACUAGAAAGAAGAGAAUGAGAUUUGAAAUUUUAGGGUUUAAGUGAAUUUAAAAGAUUUAAGAGGAUUAAGGGGUGUUAAAUAGGCUUAGGAGGUGUGUUAGGGUUAAAAAGGAGGUGUUUUAGUACUAAAAAAUGGGUAAAAGAAGUGUUUAACUGUUGGGUUGUGCUUGUCGGGUCGGUCACCUACAGAAAAAUUGUGACGAUGUCAUGAGACAAAAGGUUCUGUGUCACAACAUCCCUUGUAGUUUUCCAUUGUCUCAACAUUGGGGUUUGAUGUCGUGAUACAUUCUAAAUUUUUGGAUUGAGUUUUCUCGAUUUUGAAGGUUGCCCUUGGUGUUGUGACACAGGAUUCCUGUGUUGUGACACGGACUCUGUUCUUAUUCAUACCUCCAUUUCUAGAGUGCUAUAGUUCCUAUAAAACUCACAGUUAAUUUAAAUUUAAAUUUUGUACUAAUAUUUAGCUAACUAUACAAUAUUUUGUAUAUAUUUCAUCAUCAGAUCAAAUAGUUUAAGUCUUAUUAUCGGAUUCAUCCAACAAUAUCAUCACGUUACAGAUGGUCUAUUCUUUUAUUCUAUCAGUAUUAGUCCAUUGUUAGUUGUGCCAUUCCACCUUUGCCCGUUUGUCCCUUUCCUUAAACCUAUUUACUCGUUCUGUAUGCAUAAAAGGAAGUGCAUCCCUGGAUACGGGAAUGUUAGAAAUAGAUAAUUAUUUGUAUUGCUCCGCUAACUUCCUCCUACCUUCUUUUUCGCUUGGUUCAUGACCACAUUUAAAAACUUUAGUCUCGUCAUUGAUUUUUAUGGUUAAUUCAUUUGUUUUCUAACUCAAUGGUGGAUCUCAAUAUGAUUAGAAGAGGUCUACCUAAUAAGAUCGACAUCUCCCGAUCAUCUUCAAAAUCUAGAGCCACUAAAUCUACUGGGAUAAUGAAGCUGCGCACUUUGACUAACACAUCUUGUAAUACACCUUUCAGACGUAUUGAAGACCUGUCAACCAAUUGUAGUGUUACCUGAGUAGUUUUAAGAUCUCCCAACCCAAGUUUUUCAAAAAUAGAUAAGGGCACUAAAUUAAUACUAGCUCUUAAUUCACAUAGAGCUCUAUUAAAGUGAAUGUAACACCCCUAAUCUGUGUCCGUUGCUAGAUUAGGGUUAUAGACCACUACUAUAUAAUUGAAAAGACUUAAAGUUAAUUUCAUUCAAUAACAUAACAAAUCAUAAACCAAUCGUAUACAUAUAUACUGUACCUAAAUUGAACCCUUGAGGCCCUAAAAAUACCUUAGAAACAAAUCGGGACCAAUUUGAAAUCAUUUGAAAAAUAUAAGAAAAAUCAAAAAAUGUUGGAAACAGGGGUCACACUGCUAAGGCACAUGCUCAUGUCCUAGGCUGUGUAACCUUCGAACUAGGGACACACGGCUGUGUCCUAGCCCGUGUCCUCACCCGUGUAACUCUCUGAGUAGGGUCACACGAGCAUGUCACACGUCCGUGUGCCAGGCCGUGUAACUCUUUGAGUUGCCUCACACGCUCGUGUGCCAGGUAGUGUGCUAGGCCAUGUAACUUACUGACUUGCAUACAAUGGAACUCUCAAAUGGCACAUGGCUGAGUCACACGCCCGUGUCUCAGACUGUAUGAUGCAAAUUUUUCUAAGAUCAGCCAGAGUCAGGUAAAGAAUUUUUUAUUUUUAGUGAUGCUUCAUUAAAUGGUUUCGACUGUGUUUUGAUGCAAGAAGACAAAAUAAUAGCGUAUGAUUCUCGAUAGUUGAAACCACAUGAAAUGAAUUAUCCUACUCAUGUUUUAGAACUUGCAGCUAUUGUGUUCACUUUAAAGAUUUGGCGACAUCAUUUAUACGAAGAAAAAUGUCAUAUCUUCACGGAUCACAAAAGUCUGAAGUAUUUGAUGUCACAAAAAAUAUUUGAACUUGAGACAGUGUAGAUGGCUUGCAUUGUUGAAAGAUUACGAUUUGAUCAUUGACUAUCAUUCAGAAAAGGCUAAUGUUGUUGCUGAUGCACUAAGUAGAAAAUCUCUAUUUAUUUUGUGAGCUUUGAACACACAGUUGACAUUGAUUGAUGAUGGUUCAAUUUUAGCUGUAUUAAAAGCUAGACUGACUUUUUUGCAAAAAAAUUGUGAGCUCAAAAAAAUGACGAUGAAUUGAUUGCUAAACUGAAAUAGAUUAAGUCAACAUCUGAUACAGAUUUAGAAAGAAAAGAAUAAGAUAAUACAUUUUUCUUUUCUUUUGUUUUUACAUUUAUUUACCCAUUUACCAUAUUAAGCUUAAAAAUUUAUCAUAAUUUCACUUAAACCAUACCCAUAAACAUCCAUUACCUCAUUUAUUGGUAUAAUUACCUUAAAAGUCCCUUAGUUCAAGGUUCCAUGGCUUUUAGACUCCUUUAGCUAAUAGAGCUCAACUUUACACAUUUUUCGAUUUAUUCCUUUUUACUUAAUUAACUAUGCAAACAUCAAAAUUUGUUAACAAAAUUUUAACACGAACUUAAUAUAUAUUUGUAGACAUUAAAAUAAUAAGAAAAUAAUAAUUUACUCAUCAAAUUUGUUGUCCCAAAGCCCCUAUUCUAAUAUUACUGAAAAGCGGCUGUUACGGUGAAUGCUUGCUAUUUCUAUGAGAAUAACUUCCCAGGUCUUUCAAUUUUUGGGGAACCUACCUUGAAAUAAUAACACUAGAAGAGGCACUUAAAGUAACAUGUUCUCCUACCUUAAUUUUCCUUCGCCUAGACAUAAUUUCCUUUAAAAACUUUGCGUAUUUGUGUACUUUCUCAAUUAAUUUGUUUAAAAGCAUGUUUAUAUAUAAUGUUUUGAAUAAGUUUAGAAAGCUUACAAACUCAUCUUCAUCUCGCUUUUGAUUUUCUUCUAGUCUAAAAGGGAAUGGGAUCUUUAUAACUGCAAAAUCUUUAGGUUCUUCCUUGUCUAGCUUAGUUACGAGUACAAUUUCCUCCUUUAACUCUGGUUCAUCUUUAGCCUCUAGGGAUUUCUCUUGAGCGUCAUUAGUAUUUUCCAUAUUUACCUCCGAAGUAGGGUUUUCUGGGGUACUCAGUACUUUGCCCGAUCGGAGCGCUAUUGCUUUCACGUGCUCUUUACCUUCUCCCCAAGAUUAUAUUUUGUAUUGCUGGGAAUACCUGUGCCAAUUUGUCUUUUAAUGUCUCCCAUCAUUCUCAUCAAUUGGCUCAUUUGAUCCUCAAGUUUAGUCAAUUUUUUGGUUGAGUUGGUGUACUCAGACUGCACUUGCUUGACAUAUGUUCUCAUUGACUUCAUUUGUCCCUCGAUUCGAUCCAAACAUUGACCACAUGUAGUAUGGUCAUUUAGGUUGACCUUAUCCUAAGGUUUCUACAAACAAGGAGGUUGAUAGUUAGUAUUUUUUACUUCAUUUGAACUAUUACCUCCUCCUUGGUUACCUCUCCCUCUCAGACUCGGGUGAUCUCUCCAACCAGGAUUGUAAGUGUUGGAGUAAGGGUUUCCUACCAUUAUUUUUGAUAUAAUU
rnacentral:lncRNA from 1 species